rnacentral:lncRNA from 1 species
AGAGGGGGCAUACUCAGUAGACUAUUUGCAAUAGUGGUUACAGUGAUAUGGAGGGAAAGGAUCUAAAUGCACUUUCAAAGAGGUCAGUUCCAAAUUGAUAGAAUAUCAAGAGAGGUUGCAAUCUACAUACAUGCAAGGGGAGCAAGACAGAAGAAGUGACAAGAUUGCCUCCAACAGUCGAACCAUAUGCCUUAAGGCAGGCCUAUAGUUGUCUUUCUUACCAUGUUUUGUUGAUUGUUAGAUAUAAGCUUAGCUCAAUGUUUUCCUUCAGCACCACUCUGUUUUAGUCCCUACGGUGGUGCUGCUUUAGGCUAUAGAGUUGUGAGAAACAGGGGUCUAAUCCUGUUUAGCAUUAUAAUUUUUGCAGUUUUGGUAAUCAAUAAAAGUACACUUCCCAAAAAAAAAAAAGAGACAAGCAUGAAGCUCUGGGUGGCCUCCACCAUAAAAAUGUUCAAAAUGAGAACCUUGUAAAUAAAACAUGAAAUAGUAAUAACUUAAUGAACAGUAAAUAAACUUGGAGAGAACUACCUUCAGAAAUUUCAGAUUCAUUGAUUUCCUCUUCUUCUUUUACAGUCACCUUGAUGCUCUCCAAGCUCUCAACUUUCUGUUGGUGGCUUUGAGCAUUUUUGGCAGUAAGUUCUUGUUCCUUCCUCUCGAUGUGGUACUUAUUCAACUUUUCUUCAAACUCCUCAAUGCAUGAUUUGAGUUCAGGUUUAGCGAACUUCUUGCCCUAAAUGAAGAUAUUCAAACAGACAGAUAAGGCUUUAACACAGUGAAAUGAAUUCCCAAGAACUGCCGAAAACUAGUCCAAGCCUUGUGAUGCCACAACAAAUCUUACCUUGUUGAUAAUAGUUCGAAAAUUAUCCAUCACAGAGUCUUCAGAUAAGGCAUGUUCAUAAGUCUUAAACAACUCUAUCAACUUUCUCAUGCUUUUAUCAGUGUACGAUAGCUGAGACAGGCAAUAGGAGAUGUAUUCACAUAGCCUAAUAUCUGCAUAAAAAAGGAUGUUAUAACAUGCAGAAGUUUAUCCGGUGAUAAUUCAAAUAGCAAUCAGAAGCUAAUCUAUCCACUAUAGUCUCUUCAUUUAAGGUCUCCUAAUUAUAAUUUUCUUUUUGAUUUUUGCAUGAUACUCCUAAAAACAUGGUAAACAUGCCUGACAUAACAGACAGAAAGGUGAGUACAAAAUCAAGUAUCUGAUGAAGCAUCCACAAAGCCUUGGUGCUAAAUACUGAAAGUCUGGCAACUCCUCAAUCAAUCUCAAAUAAGUAUAUCAUCCUCCUUUAAAGCUUGCAGAAACACGACUCAAAGUAGACAACCUCUGGAUCUUUGAAAUGUAGCGCAAGCAGGGAUUAUCAAGAAAAAAUAUUGUAAAAUCUAAAGCUAUAGCAGUGGAGCAAGGUGGCAUCAUGAUUUAUCCACAAAAAUGUGAAACCUCACCGAAAGUUGUGGAAAAUCUCAAUGCAAAGUUUACAGUUAAAAAAAAAAGAGACAUCCAUGUUUUCCAAGUAUAUGCAUUCAAGACCAAAACUAGGGAAGAAAUAGACUUUCCGAUUUCCGACUAACUUCUUUAAUUAGCAUAGUGUAAACUUACAGAACAGAUAUCCUUGCAAAAUGCAAACCACAAGUACCCCAUACAUUUUCUCUCCUAAAUUAUUGAUCAAUAGUUGACAAUUUAUAGUUAGAUCAAGUACACAAAUUCAAUAACACAUCAAAACUAUUUUCAAAUUCCAUACCAGUAACUCCACUGAAUCUAUUGCAAAGCUUUUCUACAAGAGCUUCCAUUUGCUUGUCCUAAAAAUACAUAUAAACAUUUCAGUCAAUCCUAUAGAAAGAGCCAAAAAAGAAUGUCAAAUUCAUGGUACCUUCUUAAUUGAAGCAAUUAAAAAUUGCAUGAUGUUGCAGAAAGAUUCUUCCUUCAAGUUCUGGACAGAUAACUUCCCAAGGAUAUCUGGAAGUAGGUUAUAAACUGGAUUGUUCCCUGUAAACAUUAAGUGUAAAGAAGCUCAAUAGUAGAAAGACUAGAAAAGAUGAACUUCUUUAUUAGGAAUUGAUGAAAGAAAAGUUGGGUAGACAUUCUACCUUUCUUUGACAACUCAUGAAAGAAAAGUUUGGCAAGAUUUGAAAUUCUUUCAUCUUCAUCUUCCAAACAAAUGGCCAUUUCAUUUAUAUAACCUUUCACCUAAUAAUGGUAGACGCAAGUCAAGAUGACAAAAAUUCUACCACAUGAAAGCUCAGUAUAAAUGAUUGAUAAUCCAGUCAAACCUUCAUCAUGUCAUUCAGUAUCAGAUGAGAAAGAACCAAUACAGCAUUCUUCCGCACAGAAACUGAUGGAUCUCUUAAUCGUGCAUACAUAUUCUCUGUCCAUGGCUCUAAGAGAUUAGGAAAACGAACUGCCAGAUCUCCAAGAGCAACAGUGCAAUUUGAUCGAACUGUUUCAGAUGGUGCAUUCUCCACAACAGUGAAAAGAAGCUGGAGAUUUGCUUCACUAGAAUGUAACAUAGACACAUGUUUAGAACUUUUAACAAAAAUCUUAUGUAAUAAAACAAGAAAAGAGGAAUUGAGAAAAAGCCUAACCAGAAGUCGACAUCAAUUAUCAUAAACCGGCAUAAUGCAAGCAUUCCAGAUGCUUGUAGUUCAGGGUACUGGAAGAGAUACAGAAGAUAUGUCAGUAUCCAUUAAAUGAUGUUGGAUUGAGACUACUGAUUCAACAAUGAAGUAAACUGUCCUUGGGUAUACUAAUAAAGUUUGGAGGUUCUCUUUUCUUCGAUGAUAAAAGUCUAGAGCCACAGCAUCCAAGUAACAUAUCAAUAGAACACGAAACCAAUAUUUCACAUUUGAACUCCAAAGCGACAAAAAAUUUAUUAACUUAAUCUGAACAAAAAGUGCAUCAUUCACAGUCGGUGGAACUGCCUUUCAAAUUCAUACUGGUCCAUCUGAUUAUGGAGAUUCAUGUGAGUUAAACAAGGAGCGAAAAACAAAAGAGGUCCGUAUAGUUCCAGUGUUUGAAAGCACAAAAACAUAGACAGUAUAGGCAUAACAAUUACCUUCUGCAUCAAACUGUAAUUCCUACAGAGUUUAGAAAGAAAAGGUGCGCAAUGGCCAAUCAAAUUUCUUUCACAGGAACGUCCUGAUACAAUUUCUUUCUCUGCUCUUUCAGAUAAUGUAUCGAGGAAUGCAUCUUCAGAAGCUGCUAGUCCUAGCUCUGCAUUGAUACCAUUAUCCUGCAAAAAAGAAGAACAAAUGUUAUAAAGUAUUUAAAGUUUAAAAUGGGUGCAGACUUUAUCAAAAAUAUCAAUUUGCCUCAAGAGCCUUCUCACCUUCGGUGGACCAGUAUUAUCUGUGGAAUCACCCUUAUCCUCCGUAAUCAUUUUCUCUCUCUUUGCUUUAUCUUUCUGAAUCUUGCGGACCCAAGACUCAAUGUAAACCAAUUGAUUCAAAGCUACAUGGCUUACAACAAAAAGAAGCCUGCUGAGUUUUGUCACUUGAACUGUGGUUAGCAUGUUGGAGCUACCAUUUUGGAGCUCAUCCCCUCCACUGCAAUCAAAUACAGAUCUAAGAGCUUUCUUCACCAGAUCAGCAGCCAUUUUGUCAGGAUACGGAUGGAUAGUAUAUAUGGAAGCUAUUGCUCUAUCUGCAGCAGCAUACCAUAUAUGCUCAGGAAGCCAAAAUCCAGUAACUAAGCUUUCUAAGAUACUAAAAACCCGAUUUCCGUUAGUGUUUAACAAUUUUUUCUUGUCCUCUUCAGACAGCCUCUGAAGAGCAAGGCAUGCUGUCCUAGCAAGUAAAGGUUCCACUUUUGCCCAACGCCCAAAGCCUAUGUCAAUGAUGUCUUGUAAGUGAGAGCUGAGAACAGAAUUUGAUGUUUUUGCUGCCAUGCAUAAAAUAGAUAAAGCACCACGACUUUGCUCUGCAGUUGUUCCAGCAAUAUUGAAACAGAAGAAAUCCCAUAAUGCUGACAACUGCAAUAUUAAAAGAAUUAAUAUUAAAGUUAUCCUUUAGCUUUAGGAAAAAAAGUUAGAUGAGUUAGGCAUCAGAUAAGUAAAGGUUAUCCAUUUGUUAUGACAAUGAGUUAAUUGACGUUAAGCCAAAGUGAGUUAAGCAAAGGCGAUAUAGCUUAUUGAAGUCAACAGAGUAGUCACUUUCCAAUCAUGCCAGAGAUAUUACGCUGUUAGCACCAUUCUUUUUCUUUUUAAAAAAAAAAAAGAUAUUAACACCACCAAUUUUGUCAGUUUGCAGUUUUUCUAACACAAUAAAUUUACAAAGCCUUUAAUCCUCGUCAAGUCUUUAAUAUGUUGUUAAGUAACCCUAGCUCUUUAUUGAUAUCAAGUUUCAUAUUAUAUGAAAGACGAUUGCUUCUUCUCAAAUACUAAAUUUAUAGGUCCAAGCUGGAAUGAAGGAUAAAUUACACUUUUUAUUUGAUAUAAUGAUUAUCUUCAGCCACGCUACAACAACAACAUACCGAGUAAAAUCCCACUAAGUGAAGCCUGGGGAGGGUAGAUUGUACACGGCCCUUACCACUACCUUGUGGAGGUAGAUUUCCACGCUAAAGUGUUCCAAAUGAAAUGCACAUUGUAACACUUAACCCAUCGCUUUCUAGCUCAUGCUUAACAACAAUCUCUAAAGCUACUAAAUCAGCACACAUCACCCAGUACCAAAAUAAACAUCUGAUAUUCAUUUCCUAAAUAUAAUUGAGUAAAUUAAAAUAUGACAUGUGCUCUCCACCAUGAACUCCUCAAAAAAAUAAAUGCAACCAUUCUACCAUGCUUCAAAACAAAUUUAUAACUUCUUGAGUCAUGCCUCACUAGAUUUCUUAUUUAGCAAUUCAAAAGAAUAAACAAUUGGAAUGAGUUUAUAGAUUACAUACUGUGCUGCUCGUCAAGUCGCCCUUGGACAUUAAGGCUCCAAUUAAGAACUCCAGUGAAGCAAGAUCUCCAAUAUUUGUAUCGGUAGCAAGAUUCAAGAGAUUUUUAGCAGUUUCCUCUGGGCUCUUCCUUACAUAUAUUGUAAUAAAAGCAUUCUCAACAGCUUCAUAAAUUGCUUUGUCUUGUGAAAAUACCUGCAGAUGUGCUUUAUCAGGUCAAAAUGUAUAAUAGUCCUCAUCGAUAAAACAUAUUGAAAUCAGCUGUUGCUCCGAAUAUAUAAAGUUAACAUACCAGUGGCAACAUUUUCCGGAGGCAGGCUUCUGAACCAUCUAUUUGGAACUGUCUGCAUCUCAUCAGUAAAAGAAUUGUGUUCUCCACAUCUGUGGCAGAAGAGGAAGCCAUUAAUUGGACAAGGGUUGGCAUUGUGGCGGACACACAAUUGGAGAAUCUCAAGCCUGCCUCCAGCGAUGCAACCAAGGUCCUUGUUUGCUCCAAAUUCCCAAAAUCUGGCACAGAAUCGUCUGUCUGGCCUAUCAUAUCUUCCUCAUGAGGCAAGCAGCUGUCUGUCAGACUGUCAGACUGUUCCUUGUUCAUCUCUUCACCCACAUUGAGGACCUCCCCAUCUUCAUUGCUAAUUUCAUCACAGGAAGACAGUCCAUCCAAAACACUUGUUGGCUGAGCCUUCGGUCCUAGGUCAUCUAACUUUUUCUUGUAUUGUUCUAAGGUUGCUUCAAAAGAUGCUGCUCGAAGCUGGGGUCCAAAGGGAUUGUGCUGCAACAUCAUAAUAAGUAAAUUCAGUGCAGAUUUUCUGACAAUUGCACUCUUAUCCUCUAACCUCCCAGCCGCUACUUCUGCAACCUCAUUCCACAUGCCAAUUGAAACUGAAUGUUCUUCACAUAAUUCAGCCCAGACCUGAAGCACUCGACUCCUUGUAUAGGCUGACACAUCCCUACAACGUUCCAAUAAAAUUUCCAACAUGGCCUGCUUGGUUCGGAGACGAAUCGAUUUAGAACUCACUUCACCUUCACCGUCGUCGAAAGCCUUCAUUACCAACUUACCCAACACCCCAACAAGAGCAUUUCUCAUCUUAUAAGAUUCACCUCCAAAAUGUGGGAUUAAUAAGCCAAUAUUAGUUGAGAUCAACUUAGGCAUUCUAUCAGCGAGCUCUACAAGAAAGCGCCCAACAUUUUCAGCCCCUACUGUAUCCUUCACAUAAUCUUUCGGGGCAGUCCUUCCUAUCUCUCUGAUAAGAGAAGAAGCCAUGCUACCAUCAGCAUACUUCUUUUCAGCCCAAGCAACUGCAUCAGCCAAAUGGGAAACUGCAAAAUCUAAUUUGUGAACCAGGUGCAAAAUUGAAGCACAUGAUUGUGCAGCAUAGUGGUAUUUGGUAGCACAUGUCCCGAUUAUGCGAGUCAAGGCGUCUUUUGUGUCUGAAUCUUUUAAGACUGCCGCAUUCUCAAACAGCGAAAAAGCAUUCCUGCAGCAAUCCACAUCAUCAGAUUGAGUUACUACUUUGAUCCACUUAAAGAUAAUCAGCUCAACAAAAAGAAAGAAAAGCCCUUACUUCACAAUGAAGGACAAGUAAUUUUCAUCGGGAUCCGAUGAUCCAAACAGCAUCGAGAGGUUGAUCUCUAAUGAAUUUGCAACUGAAUUCAGUAUCCUUGCCCGUUGUGGCUCCCAAUUCCAUGCACUAACAAGUUGCUUCUUUCGACUACUAGCGACCACCUAGAGCCAAUCAACAUACUAUCAAUUGCCCUUGAAAUUUCAGUAUGAAACAAAAAGGAACAUAUGCUUUCAAGAAGAGCUAUAAAGAAAAUAAAUACACACAAGGACAUCACAAAAUCAACUAAACUCAAAAUCUCUAGUAUCCCUUGAAACUCCGCCUGGGAUCAUUUUAGUACUCCCUUUGUUUCAAUCUGUUUCACUUACCUUCCUUUUUAGGUUGUUUCGAAAAUAAUGACUUUUUCCUAAUUUGGCAAUUCUUUGAUUUCAACCUCAUGUGUUGCAUGUUUGAGACCACAAAAUUAAAGAGCAUUUUGGUACAUUAUACAUCUUUAAGACUACAAAAUUCAGAAGUAUUCUUUACAUACUGAAACUUGGAGUCAGGUCAAACUAAGACAAACAAAUUGAAACGGACGGAGUAACAACCUUUAAUCAUUUUUAGUAUCAACAGGAUUACAAUAUCCCUUGCCCGCAAGAAUACACAUUUAUACAUGCAGUUGAAAUUGACUAAAAACAGUAAAUUCAUUAUAAGCAUUUCAUAAAAUUGCACUCCUUGUGAGUAUACUACAUGCAUCACACACACAUACUAUCAGAUAAAGAAAGAAAUUUACUUUUGUACUGUUGUUAGAACUAGAUGUAGACUCCUCAAUGAGCACAAUGUGAAUGAGGAAGAAAGUGUAUAUUUUGAAAGCAUUUCGAUAUGAUGCAACUCUAUCAGCAAGCGAACACUCAUCCUCCUCACUGUCAUUCUUCUCUUCAUCAGCAUUUCCAUCCUUCUGCUGAGAUACCCUCAAGAGGGAAUCCACAGUGGGGAGCAAAACACUGAGGUUGGACCUAAGAGACUCCACCAAAUUGAGCUUACACCCUGGAGUAAGACAAGAAAACUCCUUCACCAGUGAAUACACACGGUCAAACACAUCAUGCUCCUCCACACAGAAUAGCUCUUUGUCCGAUAGGUCAAAAGAGACGCCUGUUUAAAUUAAAAAAAUUAGAGAACCAAGUAGAAAAAAUCGAAAAAAAAUAAGAACCCAGUUGCCGAAAUCGAAAAGGAAUGAGAACCCAGUUGCCGAAUUCGACAAAAGAAGAAGAACCCAUUGUGAAAAAUUGAAGAGCACGCAAUAGGUAAGUUCAAAAAAAAAUUAUAAAUUAUCGAAAAUUGACCUUUAAGCUGAAACCCAAGAACAGAAAAGAACAAACCUUUGACAAAUUCUUCCAAUUCAGAAGGACGGAGAUUGCUCAGUGAAGUGGGAUUUUGAACUGAUAGACAGUUGCUAUCGGAGUCUUCUUCUUCCAGAGAGUAUAAAUUUGGGGGAAAUAUGAAAGGUGGAGCCAUUUUAGAGAAAUGGGGUCAAAGAUUUGAAGAAUUUCUACAGAAAAUAAUGGUGUAAACUUCCUAGAUCGGUUAGAUUUUUGAAUUCACAAAAGCUUAAGCAGAAGGAAGAAGAAGAGGUUCUGGGAAUGAGAUGAGAAAAUUUGAAAUGAAAAAAGAACCGUAGGGGAGCGGGAAUACAAUAUCAUUUAUGUUUCGGGUUCGAGUUCUAAUCAGGUUACGAAACUUUACAUAAAUUUGAAAUAUUUAUGUAAAUUUAAUUUAAUAGAAUUUCAAUAUAAUUAUCGAAUAAUAGAUGGAAAAUCAAAAAAAAAAAGUCACUCAUCUUAUUUUUUAUAUUUCUUAGCUUUUUAUUUGGAUAUUUUUUAAGCGUCACUUUUAACAUAAAAUAUUAUAUUCCUUAAGCUUAAAAUUCGAGACAUAUGGUUAAGAUUGGAUAACAUUAUUAUUAAUUUUUAUUCAUCCUAAUUUCUAUUAUUUUCUAAACACAAAAGGCUAUUUUCUUUAGGGGUAUUCUAAUGGUAAAUGUUAUAUUUUUAAGACUUAAAAAUUCAAAAUAUUUAAUUAAAUAUCAUCAUUUAAUUACAUCGCAUCCUAAUUUAUACUAUUAAAAAAAGGAAAAAAAUUUCAUAUAUGGUAAAUGUAUUUGAUUAAAUAACAUUAUAUGGGUAUAGUUUACCUAAUUACAUUAUAUGAGUAUAGUUUAGUUAUUAAAGGUGUCUUUAAUUUUGUAUAUAAUUUUUUUAUUAUUAUUUAUACAAUUCUAUUUUAAAAAGUUGUUUGUAACUGAAGCAUUAAAUAUGGUAACAAUAAAUCAAGAUAAUGCCACAAUUUUAGGGAAACGUCCUUUUUUUAAGCUAAACGUUCAAAUUCAAAAAAAAAAAAUCAUACAGCCAUUGAAACAAAAAAAUUAUAAUUAUUUUUUUGCUCUUUGUGAAACUGAAGUUCAGCAAUUUUUGCAAUCAAAUACAGAUAAGUUUUUAUUCGAUGAAAUUUCUUGUUUAUUAUUGCAAUAACUAUACAAUGUUAAAUUGGUUUUAGAAUUUGUGAAUUGUUUUCGAUCGUUUGUUUUUAAAAAAAAAAUCAAAAUAUGAUUUUGUUAAGCUGAAAUUUUGCAACAUACAAUUAUAUACUGUUCAUGUAAUUGUAUAUGUUAUUCGCGAUAUUUGUAUAUUUUGAAAGCGACAAUAUUUAAUCAGUGUUCAUAGUUGUAUAUAUUCAUAAAUCAUGUGUUUUAUUUUUGAUAGAAUUAUGUACUAUUGUAGAUGUAGUCUUUGUAUAUUAAAGAGAAUAACAGUAUAAAAAUUCUAUGUCAUACGAUUUAUUUUUGGAAGAAGUAUACACUAUUGUAGAUGUAGUGUUUGUAUAUUAAAAAAAACAACAGUAUAAAAUUUCUAUAAUUUGAUUGUAUAAAAAUUGUUGUAUUAAUUGUAUAUAUGAUCUCAUUGAAUUAUUUAUAUAUAAAUAUUCUUUUCAUAAAUGUACAGAUAAUGGGCUUAUUAGCUAUUUUGGUUAUGCAUUCUGAAAAAUGGGACGAUACAAAUAGUUACGUUGAUUAUACUAUAGAAGGAGUAGUUUUUAAGGAACAGUCAACAUUUCUUGAUUUUUAUACUACUAUUGUCAAACAGAUUGGUGUUGAUAUGAAUAAUAAGACUUUGAAGAUAGAGUACAAGGUUGAAGAAAGCAAUAAAGGAAUGGUUAUACACAAUGACAUGGGUGUCAGAGUGUACGUAAUGCUAAAAAAGGCAAACAUUGAUUUUAACAAAUUUCCUAUUUGUAUAACUAUUUUGAAUUCAUGUGAUAGACAGAUUUGUAUAUGUAUAUAUACUCAAUAUAUACUAACUUCAAUAAUUGUAUAUAACUAAUAUAAUAUACAAAUUCUAAUCAUAUAUUCAAAUUUUCAAUCUGUAUAACUAAGUCCAAUUACUUUUUUUUAUAUAUAUAUACAAAAAAUAAAUAUAAGUUAUAUUGAUAUGUGUACAUGAAUAUAUUAGUUAAACAUGAUAUUAUAUUCAAUAAUUUGUAUAUAACUACCAUAAUAUAUAAAUUAUACUCACAAAUGAUAUUUUUCCAUUUAUAUAACUAAAUCCAACUACAAUAUGUGUACAUGAAUAUAUUAGUUAAACAUGACAUUAUAUUCAAUAAUUUGUAUAUAACUACUACAAUAUACAAAUUAUAAUCACAUAUGAUAUUUUCCCAUCUAUAUAACUAAAUCCAAUUACUUUGUGUACUAACUUCAAUAAUUUGUAUAUAACUAAUAGAAUAUACAAAUUCUAAUCAUAUAUUCCCGUAUACAAUACUUAAAUAUACUAUAUACAAUUACUAAAACAUGGAAUAUACUAUAUACAAUACUUAAUUUAAUAUUUUUUUGUAUAUUGACAACUAAUUAACCAAAAAAUUGUAUGUAACAUUGUGUUUUAAGACAGUACCUCUUGAUUAUGAAGUUCUUCAGAUCCGACUACUUCAGAAGCAUUUUCCUCUGAUUCAAUGUUUACAGCUUUCCUCUUUCUUCUUCCUUGUACAAUUUUAAUGCCUCUAGCUUUGGCAACUUGUUGUACUGCCAUAUGGUCGUUUUUUUUCUUUGAUCUCAGCUCUUCCAUGGUUUGUUCUUGUAUAACUUUAUUUGAUUUCCCCAAAGAACCUACAUCAACCCCAAAAUCUUGAGUUAGUCCCAUUGAAAAGGAUGGUAAAAUGUCAACAACAUUGACAUGCAAAGGACUAUCUCUUGUAAUCCUCAACGAUGAAGAUGAUUAAUUCAUUGUUUGACCAAAUUUAAAUCUAUCAAGAACAAAAAAUCGAUUAUUUCAUUUAAAUAUAUGAAAAAUAAUAAUAAACAGAACACAUAUACAAAUUUUAAAUAAGUAAAAAAAAAAGGUAAACAACUAAAAUUAAGGAGUACUUACGAAAUUGACUUCAGCUUGGGGAGGGAACUGGGAGGGAGAAAUCUAAUUUUGGAUAACAAUUUGAAUUUCAAACCGGCUAGCUGGAGUAUUGAAUGUAGGAGAAAACGUUUGAAUGUUAAAAGGAGAGAGAAAAUUAUUUUUUGUAUAAUUAUAUACAAAAUUAGAAAAUAAGGUUUUUAUACAAUUGGUUACAUAAUAGGUUGUGGACCCCAUUAAAUAUAGCAAAAAAAAAACCAUAAUUAUAUAAGGUAAAUAAAUUAAACUAUACCCCUAAAAUAUAAUUAGUUACGAAUGUUUGCCAUUUUAUAUAAUUUUCCCUUAUUAAAAAAAUUAUAAUAAACAUUAAUUAUCAACUUGCUAAAAGAUAUGGAUAGUAAAGGUGUAUAUAACUUUAACCAAUUAUAUAUUUUUUAAAUUUAUUUAUACUUUAAAAUAAAAAAUAGAUGUAAAAUAAUAUUUACCCCAAAACAAGAAAGGAUAUCAAAUUCGGACCCAAAAUCCAUUCGAUCUCUCUCGGGUUGCAUUUCAAUUGUAAGUCCAAUUGUUUCUCUCUCUAGAUUUUAGUUUCUGCUGUCUCUCAUGAAGAGAAAACCCAAAAAUCCCUUUUUGAAUUGUAGUUUUAUGAUGGUAAAUUGAGUUGUAAUUUGUAGAGGAAGUUCAAAAUGACAUUGUUCUCCUUUGUGAUUGUUUUCGCACUGGUAUAUGUUAACUAUGUGAUGAUAAUCCACAAAAUUUGUGUUGGGUUUUUGCUAAUAUUCGUUAAAAAUUUAAUUUUGAAUAGUUUUGUUUGAAAAAGGAGAGAAAUGAGGCACCCAAGAUGAAAUAUUUGUAUUGUAUGUUGAGUUGUUAAUUCUUGGGUAAAUUUACAAUCUUUUAGCAAACUCUUUGAGUUUAUGGGACAGUGAUUUUGAUUUCUAACAAAAGUGAAGUUUCAUUUGCUUAAACUUAUCAAUGAGGAGGUGUGAGGAUGCGCUAGUGAGGAGGUGUGAGAGGUUGGUUGUAGCAGGAGUUAGGAGAGGUAGCGGUAGGCUGUAGAAGAAUUGAGAGGAGGCGAUUAGACAGGACAUGACACAGUUUUAGCUGAGCGAGGACAUGACCUUAGAUAAGAUGGUAAGGAGGUCGAGGAUUGGUGUAGAAGGUUAGUACGUAGUCAAGGGUUGUCGUACUUCUAGUAGUAUGAUUUAGGUGUCACAUAGUCCUCUUUUCGCACUGUGUAUCAAUAGUUGUUUUACACUUGUUUUGUACCUUUGCUAUGUUGCCGUCUCUUUUUCUUUCUUAUUUUUCUGCAUCAUUUACAUUUCUUUAAAGCCGAUGGUCUAUCGAAACAACCUAUCUAUCCCGCAGAGGUAGAAAUAAGGUUUGGAUAAAUCUUACCCUCCCCACACCCACUUAUGGGAUUACACUGGGUAUCGUUUUGCUGUUGUUGUUGCUUAAAUCCUUAUCAGCCUGUCAAGACUGGCCCUUGAGUUGAUCUUGGCAUGGUGUUAGAGACGGAGACAUAUUGAGGAUUUUAAGUUAGUGGGUGAGGAGUACUACUGUACUUGCUACUUGUUUGUGACGUUGAGUGUGAACUUAAACAUAUAUACACAAACAAAGAUGAGAUGCACAGAUGGAGAAAUGGUCAUUCAAGUGUCUCUAUGUGUAUAGUAAAUACUCCUUUGUGACAUCGAGUACUAAAAUCAACAUGGAUAACCACAUAAAGAUGGCACAUACUAAGGAAGAAAUGGUCCUGUAUGAGUUGAAUUGAUGUUGAAUUGAAGGUGGUGGGUUCAUCAUCACCAGCUAUCUAUGCAUAGCAUCUGCCACUGGUAGAUCUUGAUAGUUGACUCUCUUAUUUUCUUGAUAGAGUAGUUAGUAUCUCUAAUAACUUACAGUCAUUUCAUCUAAAAGGAUAUGGAUAUAAUUAUUUCAGAGUUAUUUAUGUAGUCCACUUCUUUGUUAUUCCUUACUGUUAUCUUGCAACGUAUAUCAGGUAAGUGUUUGUGUACUGAUUUUGGCUGAAGGGUCUGAAAAUUCAAAAGGGAGGAACAAGAAAUAGAAAGAAGGACAUGAGUGAUAUAGUGGGGGGACCUGAUCCUUCUGCAAUUACUUCAGUAACAGCAGAAUCAUCAAAAACUACUGGUUUUGAUGCAAAUCGAAUUUCUGAAGUGAAAGCUUGGCUUACUUCACAAUUUGACGCUGUGGGUAAAGAUGUCCCUGAUUUUGAGUACACUCCUCGAAGCAUCGCUGAAUUACACAAGAUUGCCACUCUUUCGCAAGCCAAAACUCAAGCCUCUGCUAUUGUUGCCAAUGAUUACCGCCAAAAAGCAGCUGAGUACAGGUCCCAAGGUCAUAGUUUUUCUGUUUAAACUACUCGAACCGGCAUUUGGUUCAAAAUUGAGGUUGUUGUCCCAUUGAGCUGAUUAUAUUAUUUUGAUUGCAGCUGCUAGGAUAAGAGAGAUACUGGAGAGUGUGGGAUUGGCCCAAGAGAGUUUACCAUCUAAUGUGGUUUCAUCUGCACAUGUUCUUGCCAAGGUUGCAAAUUUGUUGGAUGUUAGAGAUACUGAAUUAAGUAGGUAAGUCACCUUUUUUCACUAAUUAACCUUUUCUUAGUUCUCACCCCUUUAGUUUCGUUGUCUUACUAGGAGAAACAUUGUAGUUUUCUUGUUGCAGUGGCAGAUCUUUCUCUACGGAAAACAGCAGUAGAAGAGAAGAGAGCUAAAGUGCAGCAGGAAUCAAAAGUUCUUCUUGAAUACACUCGAAAGGCAAUAGCAAGAUUGACUUAUUUGAAAAGGUAAAUCUUUUGUUACAUUUCAUCGCACUCUUCAUGAAAUAAUGUUGUGGAAUGGGGUAAUAGGUAGCACAACUGGGAGUCAAUGUUCUUAUAUCGUUAGUUUGACUUCCUGGCACUUUCUUGCUGCCGUAUUUUGUUUCAAGAAAUGAAUACUUCUCUUGCCAAAAAGAAAUCAUGGGUCUUUCAGUUAAUCAAUGCCAUCUUUCAUCUCUUAGCUUUAUUCUGUGUUUCGGCAGAACACUUUCACAGCUUGAAGAUGAUAUUGCUCCAUGUGAAGCACAAAUGGAGAACUGGAAAACAAACUUAGCAAUUAUGGAGUCAAAAGAGAGGCAGUAUUUGCAGGAGUAUGGUUAUUAUAAGGUAACUUUACUUUUGUCUUAAAUAAUUUGCUGCAAAUUUAUGCAUUUCAUUUUCUUCUCCUAGUCAAAAGUCAAGAUGCUGUUACGAUAUUUAAUUAUCGUAUGGGCUGUUAUGAGACAUCUUUUUAUGUAGUAUAUCCUACAAAUGUGAGCUUCAAGUUUAUUAGUUUUCAUGACGCGCCCUUUUUAACAUUCAGCUAGUUUCCAUGGAAUAGGUCUGUAUAUACGUUCUUGUGUUCAUGUAUAUGUGUAUGAAUUUCAUAUCUUUGAGUUGCAUUUACUUUUGUGAAGAAGAAAGCUUGAUGCAAAAGUCUUUAUAAUAUAGAGAAGAUUCAAUAUCCGUCAGAUGAUAGUUUGCAACUUUUCAAGUGAGUGUUUUAUUUAUUUCUCUUCUUCUGUGCCAAAAAGAGAUGGGAGAUUUGUUAGUACCAAUUUUGUAAAGAUGAAAAGGUCGCCCAGCAGUGUCUCUCUUCACGUUCUAUGAUAAAUGGAUGAUCUUAUGCAAGGUAAACAGUCAUGAGUUGGCUGGAUAUGAGGAUUGAUGAAGGCCUCUAGAGGGCUCUGCUAUCUGUAAAUAUCUAAUCCUCCUUUUCUCCCUACUAGUGACAAAGGUGAGAUAAAUAGUGGUUUGGUCAUAAGUUGUCGCAAACCUUGAGUCAGAAGGCACAAGGCAGCACUUCUAGGACCAGAUGUGCGAUGACUGGCAAGGGCUUAUAGUAAGGUCACUUCUGGAGGACUGGCAUGCACAUGUACGAUGACUGGAUGAGUCAGAAGGCAGUACCUCUAGGACCAGAUAAAUUGCUUCGCAGGCCCAAAUUAUCGUUUUAUGAAGCAGUAACUUUCUAUAUAAUCUGUCAUAAAAGCUACUUCUGCUGUGUCACACAUUUUAUUUGAUGAUCUACCCUUCAGCAGGCAAUUUCUUCUGAAAAUAGAAAACCUAUUUUAAUCUGAAAAAAUUGGAUCCUUUUUGCCUCGACAUGCUAGGAACUUUGUGAUCUGAAUGUAUUACUUGCACCUGAUCAUAAUUUUGUGUUUUCGUAUACCUGAAACCGUGAAGUGGAUGUUAAAAGGCCUUUGGAUGCAGGCUGUGCUCAAUCGUGUUGGUUACACCCCAGAGAUAAGUCACGGGGUAUUGGUCGAGAUGGCAGAGCAUAAGAAAGACUUGGAGAAGAAAACAAAACCAAUUCUUGAUACUCUGAGAAGCUAUCAAGACUUACCUCCUGUAAGUAUUUCUAAACGUGAAAUAUAAGUUCCAUUAUUCUCGUCUCUCAAAUUAUGCUGCUGACUGUUUGAGACUUCCAUCUGCAGGAUAAAGCCUUAGCAGCGUUGGCAAUCGAGGACAAGAAAAGACAGUAUGCUGCUGCUGAGAAGUACCUUGAAGAUGUGUUGCAGUCUGCUCUUGCCUCCUCAGAGUGACGUAGAAUGCUUUUCUUUGAACAUCGCCUUCACUUCAGCUCGUAGUGCCUUGCCUGUCAAAACGUUUGGUAAAUGAGAUUGGGAUUGAUUUUCUUUCGACUCGUUUGCUAUUUUUAUCCUUCACUUUUUGUAUGUGCCAUGAUGGUGUAUUCUCAACACUGCAGAUAACUCAUUGACUCAUUAUGAUGUGUAAUUUGAACAGGAAAAAGUUUAUGGUAAAGCCUAUUUCCUUUGUAUUUUUACUUCUUUGAGAGCCUGAGAGAGUUCACACUUUUAGUUAUCUUUAACACCCCUCAUGUUGCCUGAUAAGGCUACGAUCAACCUAUACUUAAUUAUAUUUUCGACACCUCAUUUCAUAAUACAUUCAAGUGUAUGAUAAUCUCAUCUGAAAGCUUAAGUCGAUAGAGAAAAUAUACUUUUAUUUACGUAAAAUUUUGUCUUCAACAUAUGUGAUUGAAACAUUUCUCAUGUGUCUAGGAGUUGGCAAGUUUUGUUUAUUUUUCAUAUAUAAGAAAACUAACAUGUAAAAUAAUUCACCAAAUGCUUCCUUUACACGUUUGUAUUUUUUGUUGGUUAAAAAAGUGAUUUUCUUUUAUAUUAAAAAAAAAAAGGAACAAAAGACAAAAAAGAUGAUAGAUUUUGCAAAGAUUAAUCCAGAAUAAAUUAUAUUAAUAAUAGCCCAUUAUUUGUGUAGUCACACUCAAUGUUGCAUUCAUGCAAGACAAGCCAAUCAAAUUUUUCCUAACCAAAUCAUGUUGUGAUUAGAAAAUUCUUUUAAAAAAAAUGGUUUAUCGAUAUCAUCCGUCAUAUUUUUUGAAAUAUUAAUAUUUCUGUCGUUUAAAAAUUAAAAUAUAUAUAUUACUUACUCAGCGAAAGAUUAAAUAAGAUCACAUGACACAAUUAUAUCAAUUCGAUAUUUAAUAAAUAACGAUCGACAAAUAAAAUUAUGAUACGUAUAUAUACGUUAUUCUUUAGAGUUUUUCAAAACAAUCUUUCUUUCGUAGUGAAAAAUUAUAUUUCGAGUCUCUAUAAUUUUAUCUUGAGCAUAAAUAAAAUUAUUUAACUCGAACAUCAAACAUGUUUUCUGAAAAUUUUAAAAGGCAUAAUGCAAACACCAAAUAUAUAUAUAUAUAUAUAUAUAUAUAUAUAUAUAUAUUAAAUGCUACGAAUUCAAUUAUAUAAUAUUUAUUUUGGGACAAAAACUGCAAGAUGGAAACAAGGCGGUGGGAUGUGGAGACAAGAAAAUUAUUGGUUGCAGAAAAUAGUCCCAUCACAUAAAUAUUUAAAAUAUAUAUAAUUCAUUUAAUAUAAAUAUUUAAAAUUAUUAAUUUAAUAUUAAACUACAAGAGUUGACAGGUCAUUAAUUUGUGGAAAAUUUGGUCUGUGUCCCUUGAUUAUCAUCAAACGCAAAUUUAAAACUCAGAUUCUUUUUUUUCUAUUAAUUAAAUUUCAAUUUCACCGCUAAAUGCCUAUUGUAUUAUCAAAUUAAAUUCAUCUUACGUUUUAUUAGAAGUAUAAAUAUAUUAAUAGCUAAAACAUAAUAUGUUAUUGAAAUAUCAAAAUCUUGAUAUAACUUAAUCCCAUAUAGAAUAUAGGAUAAGUUAUACAAGUUAUAAUUUUAAUUUAACCUCAAUAUGUUAAAUCAAACAAGAAUCUGAGUUUAAUUCAUCUGUUUCAAUUUAUUUGAUAUCUACUAUUAAAAUUUUUGAUAAAGAAUUUAGACACCAGAGCUUUAAGCUAUUCGAAAUAAAACUUGUAUAUCUAAAAUUUAUAUUUGAAAAUACUAUAAUUACAAUAAUUAACAAUUAAAAAUGUAUAUAAAAAACUUAGUUGACUGGUAAAAUACUAACUAUAUGACAAAACUAUGACAAUUAAUAAAAUUAUACUGAAUAUGUUGUCAUAUAAAUUGAGACGGAAAAAAUAUUUAAUUAUCGUCUUUAUAACACAUAUAUUGUAAAAGAAGAUGAUGAAAGAUUUGAGAAGAAACAUAGUACUAAUGCAAUUUUGAAUAAUUAAUAAUAUUCCCAUGAGAUUACUUGACCAUCAUAUAUAAUAUUUUAAUUUCCCAUUCCCAAUUUUGUUUCAUAAUGAUAAUAGACAAUUUUGUGAUCUAUCUAGUAAAAGAGAAAUUAAUUAGAUAGAUAAGCAAGAGAAAGAAAAUACUCAUCAUGAAUAUGGACGAUACAUCGACGAUGGGUCAAAUUCACCAUGCCUAUUUUGUUUAUUGUGACUAUUAUCAUGAUCAUCCUGGUUCGUCAUUCUGUUGCACCCUAUUUGUUGUGCAAUCGAAGUACCAGCGCCUAGAUUCAAAUACACCAUUCUCGAGUCUAGAUUGAGGUUAUUACCUCCCACAUUGGUCGUGUUGCUCGUGCUAGAACCAUGAUCUUCGUUGUUUAUAGGUUGGAAUAUCGCGGUGGAAGAUGGGACGUUGUUUGUAGUUUCUUCCUCUCGUGAAAUUACCAUAGCCGCGGAUUGAACUAACUCAAGACAUAGACGUAGUUUGUUUGGUUCGAUAUGAGUUAGACCAGGGAUCGCACCUUUGAAUAAGAAAUCGGAAGUUAGGGUUUGUAGAAUGUCGAGUGGAGUGAUCCCAUCCAUCGUUCUGACAUUUGGAUCUGCGUGGUGGUCUAGUAGGACUGCCACCAUGUCGGGUGACACCAUUUCCGAUGCAAUGUGGAGGGGGGUUUUGCCAGCUGGACCGGCCGGGUGGUUCACGUUGGCUGCACCGAGCUCGAGUAACGCUUUCACAACCUCCCGGCUACAAUUCUCGACCGCGUAGUGUAACGCGAUCGAUUCAUCGAGAUUUAGUCCUUCUCCCAUGACCAUAAGUUUGACCAAUUCCACGUCGGAUGAGUCUAGGGCUCGUCUCAUUCGUCGGAUCUUUUGGUCCUCGAGCUCCGAGGUCGAACUUAGGUCGUGCUGGUGAUGGUGAGAGAUCAAGGAUCUUCGCGCUAAUGAAGUUUUUAGGCGAAUUUCCUCGAUUUUCGCGACAACGUCGAUGGGAAGGUGUUUUGCUAGGAUUUCAGGUGGAAGGCCUGAUUUUGCAACCAAAUGAGAACAAGUAGUCCAAAGUUGAGGCAUGUCUUGUUUUCUUGAAGCAACUAAAACUUUCAUCACAUCCUCAAUUGAAGUUUUCUCUACCAUGCUUGUCAAUUGCUUCUGCGGAAUUAAACACAAUAACUAUGCUUCAGUCUCAAACAAGUCGAACAAAAUUAAAUGAAAAAACAAAGACUCACAAAUGUCCCUAAAUGUGAUUUAGUUUUUCAUAUACAUUGACAUAUUUAGAAAGUUUUAUCAUUCCAAUCAAAAAGACAAUUGAUAUAUGUUUUUUUUUUUUUGCAUAAUCUUGAUUAUAUAUAGGGUAACAUCAAAUAAAUCCAUUUUUUAAUAUUGGUUCAUGAAACCAAAUUAGGAAAGUGGAUUUGAUUGGGGAUAUAUAAAUCACUCUUGAAAGAUAUGACUCAAGAAACUCAAAAUCUUUAACAUGAAAUCAAGUGAAAUGACACAUCUAACAACAAGAAUUUCACUAAAUAUUGCUCGAACGCUUUAAAAACACGUUAGAAACCACAUGGUGUUCGACAAAUAUUUUCAAAGAGUCGGAACAAUCCGAUAAAGUUAAAUUAAACCUGAGUAAGCAAAGCAAGUUGUUCAACACCAAAAGAUCUAGCGGCUGAGAGUGUAUCAAGUGCAAGAUCAACGGCUGAUGUGCAAUGUGUAUGCCAACAGUUUCUUUCACCACAAUUAGGCCUUGGUUCAUGUUUUUGUGGCACAAUUGAAACUUGUCCACUAUACAAAAAUUGUAACAUCAACAAAAAAACCUCAUACCCUACCGAGUUCACAGGUAUUACUACCUGUGAACUACUGGUAGUACUAGUCCGCGGGCUUCCAAAGCCCACGGAAGGGUCUGGACCGCCACCAGGCGACUCAGGCCCGCAGAAGAAUUUUCUAAACACAAGACUUCUAGCAGCUAAGAUGCAUCUAUGAGCAUGUACUAAACGACCUUCAACACUAAAAGUAACAUCACUAAAAGCUUGACCGUUGAUGAGAAGAUUUAGAUAAUCUAAAGAGAGAGUUUUUAAGGAAUCUUCAAGAGUAUUCAUAUUGUUUAUAAAUUGUAAAGAUGAGAAAAAAAAAAUUUUGGUGGAUUUUAAUUCACAUAGUGGAAGAUGAUUUUGUGUUAGUUGUUUUUUUUUUUUCCUAGUAUAAGAUGAUGAAAGAAGUAGACUUAUUAUUAUUGUUAUUUUUUGUGAGAUUCUCUCUUUUAGUGAUGGAGUUUCUAUUUUGCUAUGAGGAUAGAUUUUUAUUUUUUUUUGUGAGAGGAUGGGUGGGUGGGUGGCUAUUAUGGACGGCUGAGGUAUUUAAAAAAAAUAUAUAAAAAUAGUUUUUUUAAAUUUAUUUAUUUACUCUACCUAUUUUUAAAAUAUGUCAAGACUUUACGUUAUAACUCAUCAUUAUAAUUUUUAAGUUUGGAUGUGCCUAAGUUAGUAGUCCUUUUUAUCAAUUUCUGACUGUAAUAGAUUUUCGAAAUAUGUUAAGAAUUUACGCUUUGAUAUACCUUCAUAAUUCUUUUCUAGGUGUGGACAUGCCUAAGAUAUAAAUCGUUUUCACUUUCUGAUUAUAGUAGAGUGUUAUAUAGAAUGUACAUUAUAUAUCAUUGACUCUUAGUACUGAUUUUGAUUUCACUACUAUCAUAAUAAUGUAUUGAUUAAAAUUUAAGUGAAAAUUAACUAAAUACUCCUUAAUUGAAACAAUAAUAUAUGAUAUAAAUUUAAAUUAAUCGGUUCAAUAAAUUGAUGUAUGAGGGUAGGAUAGGGAGAUGGUCAAUUUAUGCCUAAUUAAACAUGCAGAUCUUUCUUGGGAAGGUAUUUAAUUUAGUGAUCUUGUGAAUUAAAGGUUCUUGGAAAAUGUAGUAUAAUUUAAUUAAAUUUGCUCACUGUUAGCCUAUCUAGCUACCAAGUUUUUCUUUCAUUAAUUAAUGUGAAUAGGUGCUAUAAGCCUAUAAUUGUAUGUGUAACUUUUAUUUAUUUUUUUCCUUUUGUCUACUUGUAAAUUGUUCGUAGAUUCGUCGUGAUUUAAUUGGAUGAACGAUGAGUUUAUUUGAAUUUCAUAUUUUUAACAUAAAAAUAUAAAUUUAUGUUAAAAAGUUAAAUAGUAUUAUAUAUGUUUGAGUUAAAUUUGAAUCUAUAAAUUUAUAACGGUAUAUUUUUUAAGUUAUUUUCUUCUAUUAAUUCAAAUACGUCUAGUAAAUUUGAAUAUUUUUUAAUAAAAUAAUAAAAUAGUUAUGUACUUAUUAUUAUUUUUUUUAAUCUAUGAUAUUACUUACUAUAUAUUUUUUUUAUGUUAGAUGCAAAUCAUAAAUAUGAAUUAACCAAUCUUAAUAACCUAAAAUGAAAAAAAUAUUACUUAUUAUAUUGUACCUUUGUUCACACCCUUAAAAAAUAAGUAGUAACUCAUAAAAUAAUGAAACUUUAAGUGCUUAAAUAUUGUUUAUAUAUAUAUAUAUUAAUACUACACAUAUACUUUUAUUUAAUAACCCCUAUAUUAUAGUAGCAUAGGAUACGUUGGCACUUCCUCUAAAUCCAACCUCAUGAUUAGACAAAGAAGCAAAAUCAGAAUUUUUAUUUUAUAAAUUUUUUAAAUUUUUUAAAAAAUAAAAAUUUUUGAUUGCCAUUUGUAUAUAUUUAAUCGUUAGCAAAACAUGUUUUAUAAUCAAAUUUCAUUUAUUAAAAAAAAUUUUAAUCGUUAACAAAAUCUGUUUUAUAAUCAAAUUUCAUUUAAUGAAAAAAAAAUUAAGAUCGAUCAAUUCAUAUUCAUGAUUUGCAUUUACUAUAAAACCUUCUUUUUUAUCUAAUGUUUGAUAUUUAUAUUAAAGUUCGUCUAACUUUAAAUUUUUAUAUAAAAUUUUCUCAUUAAAACAUAAGAUACUUUCUAAAUAAGAAGAGAAAAUUUUAAUUUAAAAUUUCGAAAAAGAUAAAAAAAAAUAAAAAAUAUACCCAUGGUAUAAUUUGUUUAGGGCAAUGAAUUAGAGAGAAAAUAAAAGAGAUAAAAACAAAAGGGAAGAAAUAGAAGGGCAGUGAUUGACAAUAUAUCACAUACUGUCUAAUGAUUUGACAUCCUCCGAUUUGACGUUUCAAUUGUCAUUUCAUCACACAUCCCAACCUUUCUCCGAAAUGGCGGAACUAGAAAUUUUACUAAUCGGAAUUUAGAAAUAUAUAUUUUCAAAACAUUAUUCUAGUUCAUAGAUCAAUAUAAUAUUUUAUAGGAAAAAUGUCAAGUAUCCCUUAAUUUAUAUUCCAAAUUUUAGAGACACGUUAUAUUAUACUAAAGUUUUAUUACCACUCUGAAUUUAUUUUAUAAGUAAUUUUCUAUCCCUUUUUUAUCUACGUGACACUAAUCUGGAAAAAAAAAUCAAGAGAAGGUUGGGCCAUAAGAUAGUGUCUGGUUGGCCAAAAAAGGAUAGGAAAUUAUUAAUAAAAUAAAUUCAGGGGUAAUAUGACCUUAGUAUAAUAUAAGAGUGUCUCUGAAAUUUCGGCAUAGGUUAAGGGGGUACUCGUGCAUUAUCCCUAAUUUUUAUAUAAACAAUAAUAUAAUUUUUUAAUGAAAUCGAAUAUAGUUAUGCCACUACUCCUAACUCCCCCACACCCUCGUAUAAGAAUCAGAAACUUUAAAUUCUAAAUCGUAUCUACUUCAAAGUGAGAAUUUUUAAAGAAAAAUUAAAUUUACUCGAGCUCCAACAAAUAUUAAAUACCGAAUUAAAAAAAUAUCACGAAUAUAUAUAUUAUACAUGUAUAGAGUCUCUUUCAUUAGGUUUAUUUCUCUAGCUAUUCUUUUUCCUUCAACUCAGGCUUUUAUUUUAGCUAUCUUUAUCCCAAAAAAGUAAGGUCAAAUGGGGAAAAAAAAUUAAAAAUUAAUAGUUUAAUUUAUUAAUUAGCUAUAUAAUUAACGAAAUUUCAAUUUCUCCAUCUUAUCUCUUAUCCAACAAUAAAAGAAUAAACUUUUAUUAAAGGUUAUAAUUGUACAAAUGAUAACGUUAUAUAAAAGAUAAAAUUAAGAAAUUAAUUUUAAAUAGUUUUAUCAGAUGAAGAAGCAUAUUAUAUAUGAUUUCGCUUCACAUAAUGUGUGUGUUAUUAUAUUUUUUCAUAAAUAUACUGAAAAGAAAAAUAUAUCGAAUUAAAUGAGAGACUAAUUAAGAUAUAAUAAAAUUAAUAUUUGAUUCUCAACCUUUAGAAUUUGGAGAAGACAUAUUGUAUUUCCUAAUUAGAAAGGUCGGCCAAUUUUGACACUACAGAGUAUAGACCAAAAAUCUGACAAAUUAAAUUAGGGUUUGACAAAAAAAAAUAUCAUCAACUACCCCUUCAUAUUAAAAAUUUUAAAAUAAUUUUAUCUUAAAUUUUAAUAAUUUCUUUGGUUUAAUUAAAAUAUCUUUUUUUUUUAGUUCAUCUUAAAAGUUUGUUAGAAAAAUUAUAUUACGAGUAUAAGAUAAUCUUGUGUGUAUAUAUAUAUAUAUAUCAAAACAACUUUUUAGAGGCAUAUGACAUUUUUUAAAAUAUUUUUAGUGAAAUUGAGACGUUACUCACUAUGCAAAUAGUAUAUGAUGUAUUUUUUUCUUUAUCACUAUGCAUAAUUAAUUUGAUAUAUAUUAAAUUCAAGUUAAUUGUAUCCAAUUAUUUCUUUUUCAUUGUAUGUGUCACAAAUUCUAGCUGAGGUCGAUCAAGUAAGUAAUAAAAGAUACAAGUGUCCAACCUGGGUCGUGACUUGUGAUGUAAUGGUGAGACUGCUCUAUUCUUGAUCAGAGUUUUUGAGUUUGAAUUUUUGAAUAUAGUAAAAAUUUUAUUAGAAACACAAUUUCUAAAUUAGCCUUUAAUUGAUGCGUUGUCUGAAUUUAUUCAGAGCUCCGAUAAAGACUUUAAAUAUCAAGUAAAUUUUUACAUUUUUUUUUAAGAAAAAUGACAAGCGGUAAAACAAGUGGGACAGGAAUCAAUUAAUUUUUAUAUUAAAGUUAUUAUCAUCUUCAACUAUUUAAAAAAAAAGUCACAAGUAUUUUUUUGGAUUCAUCUUUGACUCCAACAAAAUUUCCUAAUGGGGAAAAAAAAAUUGGUAAAAAUAUUUACUGUUAUUUUCAUGAUUUUUUACCAUAUGACAUUUGAAGAAUAUAAUGAUUACGACUUCAAAAUAAUGAUUCCAAAGCUUCGUAAAAUUGAUUUUAAUUCUAGUGUUUUAAAUUUCCAACUAGGGAAAGGAAGGAGUUAAUUAGCUAGUAAGUAAUUUUAUACAAUUUAUAUUGGCUUUGUGAGUAAUUAUAUGAUAAAAAACAUUCUUUAGAUUCCAUAAUGAGAAAUAAGUCUUUAAGAGAGAUGUAAAAAUUAUGGGAAAAUGCACGAGUACUCCUCGAUCUAUGUCUGAAAUUUUAGAGGCACACUUAUAUUAUAAUGAGGUUCUAUUAUCCUCCUGAAUUUAUUUUAUAAGUAAUUUUUUAUCCUUUUCGACUUACGUGACACUAUUUUGAAAAAAAAUCAAUCAGCGUUGAACCACAAGAUAGGGCCACGUAGGCCGAAAAGGAAAAAGUUAUAAGUAAAAUAAGUUCAGGGAGGUAAUAUGACCUUGAUAUAACAUAAGUGUGUCUUUAAGAUUUCGACAUAGAUUGAGAGGGUACUUGUACAUUAUCCCAAAAAUUAAAGAUAAGGGGAGAUAAUAAAGAAAUUUAAAGUGAGUCACUGAUUAAAGAUAAAUAUUUAUAAAAUUAUUAAAAUUUAACUUACAAUAAAAGGUUAAACGUUGUUGAGAGUAUGAACAUUUAAUUUUAUUGAUAUUUGAAAAGAUUGCGAAACAUAUAAAGAGUGUAAAAAUAUACUUAUAUUAUGUUAAAACUUUUUGGGAGUAAUAGGUUUCCACUCAAACGAACAAUAUCAUAUGAUCAUUGUUAAGGGUGUUUUUCUCUUAACUUAUCGUAUCAAAUCAAGUAAUUUAACGAGAUAAAUAUGAAGACAAUGAUAACAAAGUGUUAGGGCUCGAAUCUAUUAGUUGUCUUUACCAUGCCAACAAGAUGAAGCAGCUAGCUCUGGGCUUCCAUGCCGACCACAAAUGCUUAGUCAAGUGAGUGAUAUAGAGUGAAACUCAUAAAUGGACUCGUAAAUCGUGAUAAUAAGUCACUGAAAUUAAGUUCGCAGAGAAGAUUCUUAAAUCAUAACAAUGAGCCACGUGAAACCUAGUUUGAUCAAAACUUUUAAACAUUCAAAUAAAAUCUCGCAUUGAUAAUUUAAAUAAUAAACUAUAUACCUCUUAGAGAAUAUAAUAUGAAUUAGACUCGUAUCGAACAAUAUCACAUCACAAUUUAUCUACAUAAGCUAACAACUAUCCAUUUCAAGAAAAGGCCACCAAAUUGCUUUAUGACCUUAUUUGUUGAUCAUACUUACUUUUGAGGGAACAUAACCCAUAGGAGUAUGUUUUGUUAAAGCAAAAGCCAUCCAAUUAAAAAAUCCACUUUCUUAUUAACCCCUUUGACUUCUUUUUUUUUAGACAAACUUUUAAUCAUAACCAAGUCCAUAAUACUUCAAUUUUUUUGAGUGGCAUUAAGAUGAUGACCUCCAAAUUCCCAUCUUUCAACUUAAGUGGAACUAAUGUAAUAAUCCAAAUUAAAAAAAAAAAUACUUAAUCUAGAACAUUAUAGACGCCUCUUAAAUAUAAUGACAAAUUCAAAAUUACGAGCAAUAUAUAAACUUCAAAUUCUGAUUUCACUUCACACGCUUUGAGCGGAACAUGCAUGGGGUAGGUCUAUGAUAUGAUAUGUGGUUUGUGACUAACAUCACAUGGAACCAAAUGAUGAAAAUGUAUCAUAGUAUUUACAUUUUUGUUUAGACAGAAUAUUUUGGGACUUCAAAAAUGAAGAAUAGUAUAGUGACAAAUAGGAAAAGUUUUCUACUACUUUUAUGACUAGUCUUUUUUGUCUUUCUGCACACUCACUAGAAGUAUCAUCCAAAAAUUGCAUUAUGAUUGCAUGUGGACCAAAAAAAAAAUAAUUAAAAUAUCUCAAACUUAGUGUAAAUUAACUAUUGGUCAUUACUCAUUACCCAAUAAAAUAAGUCAUUUGUGUUGUUGAAGACACAAUUCAUUAAAGAAAAGAAUUUGAAAGAGAGAAAUUAUCAAGUGGAGUUCACAGUGUAAAUCUAAAAUAUAGACAAGUAAUUUAAUUGAACUUGAUUUCUCAAUUUAAAAGGAGAAACCAUCUAACAAAAAUAUUCCUAUAUUCUUGUUCAUACACCUAAAUAUUUGAAAUAUGAAAAUAAAGGUGUCUAGAUCGAAUUCAUCAGGUCAUGGUAACUUAUAUAUAUAUAUAAGGUAAGUCGUAACAUCCUUUUAUAAGAAAAUUAAGAUGUUUGGUUCGAUCAGUAGUCACUAAGCAAUACACCACUUGUGUUUAGAUCAAGCUAAACUCGGUGACACUCUCAUCUACUAACACCAUAACUCAAACUCAUUCUAAUUACUAAAUUCAUUAGUGCUAGAUCUCAGAGUUACGUGUUUUGAUCAUCUGAAUUAACAUGUUUUUGAACCACGUUUGUAAAUUUAACUAUAGCGUUUUAAAUCUUGAAUUCACCGCAUUAGAACUCAAUAAAUCAUAAGAUCCAAAAAAGGGUCAGCCCAAGCUAUUGCAUGAAACAUUAUUAGGUGGUCACUUCUUAUUAAGAUACCAACUUUGAUGUGACAAGACAAUGCAAAUGUGACAAUUGCUAAUGACAAUGUAAGUGUAUCUUCUUCUUUCUUUUUGACAAUGGAUAUCACACAUAUAUACAAUGAACUACUCCAUCUUUCCAUCAGUCUCUAUUUUUUACUUCCCUAAAACUCAGUUUUCAGAUCACUAAUUUGUUUGCAAGAUUUUUUUUUAACUCCAGUCAUGGUGUAGGUAAAGAGGUGCAAUGUGGAACUAACUUCAAUGUUUCACUCACCUUACUUUAAUGAUAAGAUUAAUUUAAAUUUGUGUCCGUAAUAUGAAAUAUUUUAGAGACAUACAUGUAAAUUAGAUUUUAAAUUUAACUCAAAAGAGUCGAAUUGAUCAACGAUUAAUUUAAAUGUGUCUGUACUAUGAAAUAUUUUAGAGUCAUACAUGUAAAUUAGGUAUUAGAUUUAACUCAAAAGAGUCGAAUUGACCAAGUUGAUCGCAAUGAAAUUCAUUAUCUCUUUCACGCUCAGAUUUAAACAUUCUUUAUUUAGGAUUUGACUAUGUAUGUCUUUUCAUGGACCGAGGUAGUUUCAACCCCACUUAAAGUAAAACAUACACAAAUUAGGUAUUUGACAUAACUCACACACCAAAAACUAUUUUUCUAAUAGUAUAGAUAUUUUAUAUUGCAUGGAUCUAAGCAAAAAAAUAAGACGCAAAACUUAUACGUCGUUAUUGCUCAUGUGCUAUCUAAUGAAUUCAUUGCACUACACUCGUUGAUGAUUAUAAAUGUUGAUUCUGUUAGGUUAUUAGCAUUUUAAUAUUAAUAUUUAACAUAUUAAAUUGCUUUAUUUUGGAGUUAUAAGAAUGGAUGACUUCUACAUCAUCCAUUAGCAUUGGUUAUCCAUCAAUGUAUUUCAUUCUUAAUUCCUCCAUUACUCCCUUUGUAACCUAUGUAACAUAUGUAACUCCCUUUGUAACAUAUGUAACAUAUGUAACUCCCAUUAUAACUUAUGUAACCUAUGUAACUCCCAUUGUAACCUAUGUAACUCCUAAGGCCAUUAUCUUCACUAUUUACUACCUCCAUUAUCUUCCUAUUCAUUGCUAGGAAGACUUCUUGUAGUAUAAAUAGUGGUAGUCUUCAUUUGGUUUUAGACACACACAAUUCAUAAGAGAGAACAAAGAGUGAAAGAGUUAGUCUAAAGAGAGUUCUUAUUAGUUGAAGGGAGGUGUUCUUUUUUUUUUUGUGGAGCUUUGGACUCAACUCUUGUCCAGAGUUGUUGAGUUAUACUUUGUGAAGGCUGUUGUAUCCUGGAGGGGACAAGUCAAAGAGGACUACUGCUGGACCGGUGAAAACAUUUGCUGCAGUGGGCUUGAAUCUCCUUAAAGAGAGCGAGAUAUCCGCGCCUCAGCCUGAAGAGAUUACUUUCUUCAUUUUGUUUUCAAUUGUAAUCUUGCAAUUUUAUUAUCUUGUAAGUUUUUUCACUAACAAUUUUAAGGAGAUUCAACAUGGCUACAAUUGAAAAAACCGCGGAUAUCAAGAUGGGAGAUCUUAACAAGUCAUUUUGGUUCAAUGGUAACCAUUUCAAAAGAUGGAAGGGUAAAGUACUUUUCUAUUUAAGUCUUCUCAAUGUUUCUUAUGUAUUAACGGAGAAGAAUCCAAAUAAAGAAGACAUCACCACUAUGAAUGAUGAUGAAACUAUUUCUCAUCUAGAGAAAGUGGAAAAGUACGAUGGUGAUUCCUAUAAGUGUCGGUAUAAUCUUCUUAAUUGUCUAUCUGAUAAUUUUUAUGAUUAUUAUGAUAGAACUUACUCUAGUGCAAAGAAAAUUUGGAAGGCAUUGCAGAGUAAAUAUGAUACCGAAGAGGCUGGAGCGAAAAAAUAUGCAGCUAGUAGAUUUUUUCGUUUCCAAAUGGUGGACAACAAAUCAGUGGUAGAUCAAGCUCAAGACUUCAUCAUGAUUGUCGGAGAGCUUAGGUCCGAAGAGGUUAAAAUUGGAGAUAACCUUAUUGUUUGUGGCAUAGUGGAUAAACUUCCACCUUCUUGGAAGGAAUUUCAAAAAACUAUGCGCCACAAACAAAAGGAAACCUCUCUUGAAAGCUUGAUAAUGAAAAUCCGCAUGGAAGAAGAAGCAAGAGGCCAAGAUGCACUUUUACAAACAGAAGAGAACAACAUCACAUCGAAGGUAAAUUUAAUUACUUCGAAUAAUGCUACUCCUGAAACUCACAAAAAUACUUCUUUAAAGCCUAAGAAGAAAAAAUUCAAGAAAAAUAAUGGUAGACCUCCCAAAAAAAAAUAAUGGUGAAAAUCACCAAGCACAAAAUCAACAAGUUCAAGAAAAGGGACCAUGCUUUGUUUGUGGCAAGAGUGGGCAUAAUGCUCGAUUUUGCAGAUUCCGGAAACGUGGUCCUAACCCUCAGGCAAACGUUACCGAAGAACCUUUUGUGGGGGUGAUUACCGACAUAAACAUGGUUGAGAAUGUUGAUGGAUGGUGGGCUGAUUCUGGUGCAAACCGUCAUGUCUGUUAUGACAAAGACUGGUUUAAAAAAUAUACUCAUUUUGAGGAACCCAAAACUAUCAUGCUUAGUGAUGCUCACACUACUCAAGUGCUUGGAAAGGGAGAUGUUGAAUUGUGUUUUACUUCUGGAAGGAUAUUAACAUUGAAAGAUGUACUUUAUACUCCUUCUAUGAGAAAAAAUUUGAUGUCUAGUUUUCUUCUUAAUAAAGCAGGCUUUAAACAAAUUAUUGAAUCUGAUCAAUAUGUAAUAGUGAAGAAAGGUAUUUUUGUGGGGAAGGGGUAUGCAUGUGAUGGGAUGUUUAAGUUGAAUGUUGAAAUGAAUAAAACUUCUACUUCUGUUUAUAUGUUUUCUUCUACUAAUUUUUGGCAUGCUCGUUUGUGUCAUAUUAAUGAUCGUUAUGUUGGAAUCAUGAGUAGUUUAGGAUUAAUCCCAAUGGUUAAAAAGAAUUUUGAAAAGUGUGAGACUUGUAGUAAAGCCAAGAUCACUAAAAGGCCUCAUUUUCAAGUUGAAAGAAAAACUGAUUUGUUAGAAUUAGUUCAUACUGAUAUUUGUGAACUUGGUGGAAUUCUAAAUCGUGGAGGUAAUAGAUAUUUUAUCACUUUCAUUGAUGAUUUUUCUAAGUUUACAUGUGUUUACUUGAUGAAAAAUAAAAGUGAUGCUUUUGAAAAUUUCAAAACUUAUCUCAAUGAGGUUGAAAAUCAGUUUGGAAGAAAAAUAAAAAAAAUUAGAAGUGAUAGAGGCCGUGAAUAUGAAUCAAAUGAGUUUAAUUCUUUUGUUCGAUCAUUGGGAAUAAUUCAUGAAACUACUCCUCCUUACUCUCCUUCGUCUAAUGGAGUAGCAGAAAGGAAAAAUAGAACUUUAGUUGAAUUGACUAAUGCCAUGCUAAUUGAGUCACAUGCACCUUUAAAUUUUUGGGGUGAAGCUAUCUUAAUUGCUUGUUAUGUGUUGAAUCGUGUGCCUCAUAAAAAAUCUAAAUUGACACCUUUUGAAUUGUGGAAAGGUUACAAGCCAAGUUUGGGAUAUCUAAGAGUUUGGGGUUGUCUAGCCUUUGUGAGGCUAAUGGAUCCCAAGAUUACAAAGUUGGGUAAGAAAGUUACUACUUGUGCUUUUCUUGGUUAUGCUUCAAAUAGUACAACCUAUAGAUUUUUUAAUCUUGAAGAUAAUAUUGUAGUAGAAUCUGGUGAUGCUAUUUUUCAUGAAAAUAAAUUUCCUUUUGAUACUAAAAAUAGUGGGGGUCAAAGGAUUGAACAAAAUAUUUUGUCACUACCUAGUUCUUCUACUUCAACUUUAAAAAAUAAAGAUGUUGUUGAUUUUGAGUUAAGAAGAAGUAAAAGAGCUAGAGUAGAAAAAGAUUUUGGUCCUGAUUUUUAUGUGUUUAAUGCUGAAAACGACCCUCUAACUUUGAAAGAAGCAUUAUCUUCACAUGAUUCUAUUUUUUGGAAAGAGACUGUAAAUGAUGAAAUGGAAUCUCUAAUUUCUAAUAAAACUUGGAAGUUAGUUGAUUUACCACCGGGUUGUAAAACAAUUGGUUGCAAAUGGGUCUUUAGGAAAAAUUUGAAACCGGAUGGUUCUAUUGACAAAUACAAGGCUAGGUUAGUUGCAAAAGGUUUUAAACAACUAGAAGGCCUAGAAUUUUUUGAUACUUUUUCUCUGGUAACGAGAAUUACAUCCAUUAGACUUUUAGUUGCUAUGGCUGCAAUUUUUGAUUUGCAAAUUCAUCAAAUGGAUGUAAAAACUGCUUUUCUAAAUGGAGACCUAAAUGAAGAAAUUUAUAUGGACCAACCCGAGUGUUUUGUUGAAGCAGGCCAAGAAAGCAAAGUAUGUAAACUUACUAAAUCCCUAUAUGGCUUAAAACAGGCACCAAAGCAAUGGCAUGAAAAGUUUGAUUCCUGCAUGAUUGAAAAUGGUUUUAAGACAAAUGAGUGUGAUAAGUGCAUAUAUCAUAAGUCUUGGAAUAAUUCACAUGUGAUCAUUUGCCUAUAUGUUGAUUACUUGUUGAUCUUUGGCUCUAACAUGAAUGUUAUUGAUGAAGCUAAAAAUGUUCUUAGAAGCCAUUUUGAUAUGAAAGAUCUUGGUGAGGCAAAUUUUAUUCUUGGAAUAAAAAUAACAAGAACAUGUGAGGGGAUUUUCCUUGACCAGUCACAUUAUGUUGAGAAAAUUUUGAAAAAAUAUAACUUUCAUGAUUGCAAGCAUGUUGCUACUCCUUUUGAUUCAAGCGUUCACUUAUUUCCUGUUGAAAGUGAAAAUGAUGUAAUAAAUCAAAAGGAAUAUGCUAGUAUAAUCGGAAGAUUGAGAUAUGUGACUGAUUGCACUAGGCCUGAUAUUGCAAAUGCAGUAGGAGUACUUGGCAGGUUUACAAGCAAGCCAGGUAAUGAACAUUGGCAUGCUAUAACAAGAGUUAUGAGAUAUUUAAUUGGAACGAAAAAUUGUGGUUUGUUCUAUAAAAAAUAUCCUGCUGUACUUGAAGGCUUUUGUGAUGCGGAUUGGAACACUUUGUCAGGUGAUUCCUGUUCUACAACUGGUUAUGUCUUUACUUUAGGUGGUGGUGCUUUUUGUUGGAGAUCAAAAAAGCAAACUAUAAUUGCCAACUCUACCAUGGAGGCUGAACUAAUUGCUUUAGCUUCAGCUAGUGAGGAAGCAAAUUGGUUAAGAGAUUUAUUGUUUCAAAUUCCUUAUUUUGAAAAAUCAAUUCCUCCUAUUUUAAUUCAUUGUGAUAGCACCGCUGCAAUUGGUAGAGUUCAAAACCGUUAUUACAACGGUAAAUCCAGACCUAUAAGGAGGAAACACAGUAAUGUAAGAUCGUAUUUGACAAAUGGUACCAUUAAUGUUGAUUAUGUCAAAUCUUGUGAUAAUCUUACAGAUCCUCUUACAAAGGCCUUAACAAGAGAAAAGGUUUGGAGCACAUCGAGGGGGAUGGGAUUGAAGCCUACAAAUUCUUGAGUCAUAUAUGAGGAAACCCAACCUGGGGACUAGAGAUCCUAUAACCAGGUUCAAAGGGAAAAACUAAUCAUAUGAUGACUUGUUGUGAAAAAUGCACUAUUUUUUUCCCUCCCUAUGAUGUGAGUGCAUUAUUUCCUGUAGUUUGUGAAGGUUGAGUUGAUAAAACUCUUAAUGAAUAUCUGUAGCCCGUAUGGGUGGAGUGUUAAUCUUACAGGAGCACUCUCGACAGAUUUCACCUAUGUGAUGUGUGGAAGUAGGUCGCUUCCUAUGAGAAUGGGGCUUAUUCUCAAAUGCACUCAUGAAACCGGGAUAGCACAUGGCCAUAACGUGCUGGCUGUUAAAGCUCAUGUCAACACCUUGGUUAUUAUGUGUGAGCAGUGAUAUUUUAUUUCCCUUAAGCAGUCAUAGUUCAAGUCUGAGACUACUACGACUCUGGAGUAAAAGUUACUGUUUCACUAAGUGGAGGUUCAAUGCAGAGUACACCUUCAUUAUGCAUAGUAGUCUUCCUUCAGCUGAUAUACUCUCUUAUCUAAAUAUUAAAAUGAGUGGGGGAUUGUUAGGUUAUUAGCAUUUUAAUAUUAAUAUUUAACAUAUUAAAUUGCUUUAUUUUGGAGUUAUAAGAAUGGAUGACUUCUACAUCAUCCAUUAGCAUUGGUUAUCCAUCAAUGUAUUUCAUUCUUAAUUCCUCCAUUACUCCCUUUGUAACCUAUGUAACAUAUGUAACUCCCUUUGUAACAUAUGUAACAUAUGUAACUCCCAUUAUAACUUAUGUAACCUAUGUAACUCCCAUUGUAACCUAUGUAACUCCUAAGGCCAUUAUCUUCACUAUUUACUACCUCCAUUAUCUUCCUAUUCAUUGCUAGGAAGACUUCUUGUAGUAUAAAUAGUGGUAGUCUUCAUUUGGUUUUAGACACACACAAUUCAUAAGAGAGAACAAAGAGUGAAAGAGUUAGUCUAAAGAGAGUUCUUAUUAGUUGAAGGGAGGUGUUCUUUUUUUUUUUUGUGGAGCUUUGGACUCAACUCUUGUCCAGAGUUGUUGAGUUAUACUUUGUGAAGGCUGUUGUAUCCUGGAGGGGACAAGUCAAAGAGGACUACUGCUGGACCGGUGAAAACAUUUGCUGCAGUGGGCUUGAAUCUCCUUAAAGAGAGCGAGAUAUCCGCGCCUCAGCCUGAAGAGAUUACUUUCUUCAUUUUGUUUUCAAUUGUAAUCUUGCAAUUUUAUUAUCUUGUAAGUUUUUUCACUAACAGAUUCAAAGAUCAAAAUGUUAAUUUUUAUGAGAGUAAUUAAUUUUCACUAUGGAUUCAAUAAUUUAAGAACAACUUUUUUCUUUUUAAAUAAAAUCAGAAAUAUAUUUUUUUAAAUAACAAUUAUUAAUUAAAUGACCAUACGAGAAAUUACCGGAACUUAUUUUGGCUUUUGAUCGAAAAGAACUGAUUCGUUAUGAUUUCAUAUUUAGCGUCUCUUUCAAUCUGUCUUUUUUUAAAAAAAUAAAAAUUCUUUUUGCCUCUCUUUAAAGCAGCUUUAGCUAACUGAACUUAUAGUUUCAUUAUACUAUUCUUCUAUUUCUCUAUUCUUUAUUGACCACCUUUUUCUUUUCUCUUUUUAAAUUUUUUAUCGAUUUUGAUAUUUAUUUUAAAAUUGCAUAGAAUCCAUUUGAAAAGGCGCAUUUUUAUUAAUUUUUUUUUCAAUUUCAAAUUCAAACUCAAGACAUCUGAUUAAAGUAAAAACAAUUUAAUAUGCGUCGUAUAUCUUGAGCGGUUAUUCACCACUUUCCAUUCACUCACAAAUAAAUAAUUUAUUUGAAUAAUCAGUCUAAUGGUAUAAUUACCAAAAGUGAAUUUUGACUUUUUUUUAAUUAGGGGAAAAUAUUUCAUGGGAAAAUGCUUAUCUAAUAUGUUAGUUAUAUAUAUAUAUAUAUAUAUAUAUAUAUAUAUAUAUAUAUAUAUAAAAUAAAAGUCAUAUAGAUAAAUAAGUUAUAAUCUAGUGAAUAAUUUAAUGUAAAUAUCGAAAACUGCUUAUAAAAUUUUUAGAUUAAAAAAAGAAAGAAGAGGGGAAUGUGUGUUUAUACUUUCAUGAAAACGUUCGUGUCUCAUUGUAUUCAUAUAUGAGAUACGAGAUAUGUAUAAACAAAGUUGGCUAUUCUAUAUCUACGAAAAUUUGUAAUUUACUUAUAUACGAAUCUUUUCAUACACUAAUAAGAGAUACAACUAGACGAUAAUCGACUAGAAUAUACGUAUAUGGUGAAAAUCAAUAAGCUAAACAAAAUAGUCAAAAAGUUUGUAGGAUUUGUAGGUGCAGCACUACUUAUUACCAUGGGACAAAGACAUAAUUGUAGUAAGUUUUGAAGAAGACUAAUUUUUGAGCAAUAAAUGUAUAAGAUAACUGCUACUUUUCAUCGAUACAAAUAAAAAGAACUCACUCAGUAAUAUUAUCUAUACUUCAAUGUAAAUAUAAUAUCGAUCUCAUGAUUGUCGAUUUGUUCCAUUCAUCACUAUGUCAUACCUUUGGAUGAUUCAAGAUCUUGUCACGGUACUACCUUUAAUACUCCCUCAAUUUCAAUUUGUGGCACUUAAUCUUAUUGGACACGAAAUUUUAUGGGGGAAAUGUGCUCUUUAUUAAUACGUUACGAGAUUUCUUUGACUUCGAAAAUAUCUGAUUAAAGAUAAAAUAUAAAAUUUUAAAUAAAUUUACUUUCAAAUAUUUACAUAAACGUGUCAUUCUUUCUUAGAUUCAACUAAUAAGGAAUUUUGUAACACCUAAAACAAAAUGAACUUCUAAGUAUUUCCUUCAUUAUAUUUUAUGCUAAGAUAUUUCAUUGAAAAUAAAAUUUACUUGUAAAAAAUGAAAUCUCUUUAAAAUUUUAUAGUUUAGAAUAAAUUUUUCAUAUUUGUAUGACAAUUAAUCAUUUAAUUAAGGAAUUAUUCCGAAAAAAGGAAUUUUAAAAGCUGAAAACAAUUUAUAUGGGCCGGGAGAAAACUCUCAUUGUGAUGAAGAAAGGCCCAAUGGUUUUAUGUGUGAUAUAUUUGGGCCUUUAAAUAACUGGACUUUAUCUUAAGGAAAAACUACGUAUCUAUCGAUACUUAACUAUCACAUAUACAUAUUUUAUUUCUACUAUAUCGUAUUUAUAAAAAAUUAAAUCAAAUACACAAUCCCUUUAAAUAUGAUAAUGAAUAGUUAUCUUAAAAUUACUUCUCCUCAAUUAGUUGGACACUAUCAAUUCAAAUUAAUUUUGUUUUAUUCUUUUCAGUUGUUUCCCUUCCCAAUCCCAAAAUAGAUACCUCACGUAUCCCACCAUUACCCCUUUUUUCUUCUUCUUCAUUCAACGUUUCCUUCCCCUAUUACAAAAAAAAUUGUAUCUCAUUCUCACUCCCACACGUAUCCCUUAUUUCUUAACCAUUUUUAUUUCCUUUUGCAUGUGCUGAAUUCAUAUCAAACUCUACGUAAUUAGCAUUAGUUAAAGUGACAAAGUAAGAUUAUCUUUAGUUUUUUCUAUUGUAUAUUUGUUUUCAGUCGUAUCAUGUAUUUGAUUCGAUGGUUUUGAUUUUUUGUAGCCAAUUUAUUGUUAGGUUUUUAUAUUGUUUGCUCCAUUUUAAUGACUCAUAAUUUAGAAAAUAGUAUGAAUAUUGUUAUGUAUCCGAGACACAUGCUUUUGAAUAUAAUGUAUGAAAUUGAUACUUGAUACGUCGAAUUAAUAAUAGAUACAUGAAAUUAAUAUUGUCAUAUAAAUAGAUACAUAAAAUUAAUACUAGACACAUAUAAUAAAUACACAAAAUUAAUAUUAGAUAAUUUUAUGGUACAUAUGAAUCUACUUGUAUGAUACAUAUCCAAGUGUUUUGUUUGUUGGAUACAUCAUACAUUGACAAUAGAUACAUCAAAUUAAUGAAUUUUAUUAUUUUAAGAGUAAUAAAAUGAAAUUAAUCAAAUUGCAUGACCAAGAUAUACAUAUUUUUGUCUUUUAUAAAUGAUGUUAACGAAUUUAUUAUUUCAAAUAGUAAUUGAAUGAAAUUAAUUAAAAUAGAUACUCCUUGAUUCAAACCAAUGUAUCCUAAGUAUGGAAUAUGGUAGAGGAAGUAAUAUUUAAAACUAUUGGGAAUCUAAGUAAUAAGAACUUAAACUAAUGAGAUUUAUGUAGUUUACCCACAUAUACAUGAUCUUCAUUAACAUCAUUGAAGAAUAAAAAUAGAGUGCUUAGAAUUAAAACUUGUCUCCUAGCUCUCCAGGAGCGAAAUUAGGAGGAGUUUCGUGGGCUCGGACAAACUCAAUAGCUUUUUCAUAAACCCUAUAUUUGUACUAAAGAAUUAAGUAAUAACUUAUGAACCCUUAACAAAAUUGAUUGACAGCUCAAUGAUAAGAAAGGGGAAUGAAAUUUAGAACUCAUAAACUCCUAAUACUGACGCCGCAUCUGCUCUCCACCUCUAGCAUCUCAUCCAACCCCCUUACUCCAGUCUACCAUACUCACUCCACCCCCAACCCGACCUUUAUCCCAUGUUAGUAGUGUUUAUCAAAAUUAUAUAUAUAUUCGCGUUUGCAACACCAUUUUUUAUUUACUAAUCAAAUAUAUUACAAAACACAUUCAUUUUUCACGAAAACUUUUUUUCGUAAAAAACAUUUUCCUUCUUUCCAAAAUACUAAUUUUGACAUAUAUAAAGACAUAGCAAUCUAUCAACUACUUUAGAUUUGUAUCAAUCAUGUUAACCUAGUUUUCAAGUUGAAGCAACUUAGCUAAUGCACCCUAAGUGGUAGGUAAGUAGGUACCUUAAUUGGAUUCUAGUUCAAACAUGUUUUGCAACUUGUCAUCAUGUAGAAUCCUUGUCCGAGUGAUUUUACUGUUACGAUCCACUGAAAUUUAAUUAUUAAUUAUUUUAAUUUUUUUAAAAAAGGAAAAAUUUAUUUUUAAAUAUCGUAUUAUAAAAAAGAAAUGUUUUUAAAGUAGAUGAAAUAAAAGAAGAUUUAACAUUGGUCACUUCCUUGAAUUUUUUUGUAUUAAUUACAACUCAAGUAAAUUAAUUUUUUUUAUAUACGUGGAUAUAACUUAUUAUCUUAUAUUGGAUUAUUAAAGAUCUAUCUUUAUGAGAAGAUUAUUGAAUUAUUUCAAAUGUGUCCUUUUCAAAUUUGAUAAUAUUAGUUUUGUAAUGUAAUGAGACAAAGAAGGCAAUUUCUCAAAAAAUUUCUUACUGUUAUUAUAUACUCUCGUUUCUAUCUACUUGUUCAUAUUUUCUUUUAUAUUAGUUCUUAUUUACUUGUUUAUUUUAACAAAUCAAGAAAGAACAGUAAUAUCUUUUUUAAUAUGUCAUUCAAUUCAAGAAAAUUUCUAGUACUACUAAGUUGUAAUGCAUGUUUUUUGGAAUCAGAAAAUAUAUUUAUUAUAUUUGGAGAGUUGUAAAAUCUUUUAAAUUAAGAAUAAAAUUAUAACUAACAUAUGAUAAUCACUACGGUCUUAAUAUUUAUACUACUUCUUAAGUGGAUAACUAAAUAGGAACAGAGGGAGAGUACUUUAUAUUUAGAGCCUGUUUGACUCAGCUGGUCAAAUUGACUUAAAAGCUGGUUUUUGACUUAUUACCUGUUUGGCAAUACUCAAAAUAACUUAUUUUAAGUUAAAAAAAAACUUAUUUUAAGCCAAAAGUUAUAAGCUGGGGUAGGAGUGCUUUUUUUUUUAGCUUAUAAGUUGUUUUAAGUUGACCACAUUUUUAUCUUUUUCCCCUUAAUAUUUUAUACAAUCUCCAAAUUACCCAUAUAACCCUAACAUUUCUUUCUUCCAUUUUUCCCUUUUCACGUUUGACAUAACAACUUAAGCACUUUUAUCCAAACGCAUAACUGCUUAUUUUAAAAAUAAGUUUCAGCACUUUUAAAAAUACUUUUUUAAAGUUGCUUUUAUUAAGUCUAUCCAAACGGACCCUUAAUUUCUCCCAUCAAGUUGCAAAAUAAGAUAACUUUUUCGUUUUCCAAUUACAAAUUAUUUGUAAUUUCAUUCAACUCUCUAAUUAUAUACUUAAGAUAAGCAUCAUAACUUGUCUAAUUAAUAUUUAACAGUUUAAUACUUGACUUACCUCUCCAAACAUGAAAACUUAAUCUAACCCCAAACAGCCAAAAAAUUUCCACAAGAAAUAGGUCACAACGUAUGACUUUUUGCCAAUAAAUAUAUUCAUUAUUUAAAUUUAUAGUUCGUAAAUUUAAAAAUAAAACAAGUUCCAACAUUUGAAAUAGAUAAUUUAUACUUAUUAAAAUAAAUUUUUCACCCAAUAUAAAGUUUAAAACUAAAAUUAAUUAUUUACUAGCGCGAUAACCAUAACUAUUUAUCGAAAUACACCUUAUAAAAUAACCACGAACGCUAUUUAUUUUUUACUCUAGAACUAAAUGCCAAGUUUCAAACCCAUCCUCAAAGGAAGAGAAAAAAAAUAUAUUUUAAAAAAAAACAUUCUUUUUUUAAUUAUAUAAAUAUUUUAAUAAUGAUACACAUGUCAGUCUUUGGUUAUAAUUUCAUAUGGUCCAAAUAUCAAAAUAGAAAAACUAUGUUUACCAUCACUUCACUCCAAACCGCCCAUGUUUGAUGACUUUUUAUAGUAAAAUUAAAAAAAAAAAGUAAAAUAUUUAUUAGCUAAAUUAAAAUAACUAUUAAAAAUUAGUAUGGCCUUCUAAUUGACAGUUAAUUUUUUUUAUCUCAUAAAUAUUACUCCCUCCAUUUAAAAAUAUUUGUCAUGUUACGCUUAUCGAAAAUUAAUUUAACUAAUUUUUAAAAGUAAAUUGUAUCACAUUAAUUCGAUAUUUUAAACAAAAAAAUUUGAUAUUCUAAAACUAUAUGAAAAGUACUAUAAAUUACAAUUUUUUCAAAUUAAUGUGAUAAAAAAAAUGCAUUUUAAAAUGUUAGUCAAAGUUUUUAUAAUUUUACUUUAAAAAUAGAAACCAUGACAAACAAUAUCGGACGAAAAAAAUAUUAUUUAGCAUAUAUAUAAAAUAUAAUAUGAAAAAUAAUUUUAAUAUUUUUUUGACGAUUAUACUGAUAUAUUAUUAUAGAGGAUCCGUUUGUAUUAGGUUUAACUAAUUAAGACUUGUUAAUCUCAGCAAGAUAGGAGCUCUUUUGAUCGGGUAAUAAUAGAAGAUUUUUGACUCUUAUAAGGUUAAAUUAAUUGUAUUUGUGAUUUUGUUACGUACGUAAUAUAUUGAAAUUGAAAAAUUUAUACUUCAUUCGUUUUUUAAAAAAUGAUUUUCUUUUCUUUUUAGUAUUUUUCAAAAAGAAUGACCUCUUUUCUUUUUAGUAUUUUUCAAAAAGAAUAACCUCUUUUCUUUUUGGGUAACAACUUGUCACGUGACAUGUUUAAGGCCACAAGAUCAAAGGGCAAUUUUGUACAUUUGAUCUAACUUUAAUUUAGGAUCACAAGAUUAAAAAAUUUUCUUUAUAUUAUUAUACUCCAUGUCAAGUCAAAGUAGGUUAUUCUUUGUGAAAUGGAAGGAGUAUUUUUUAUAAGAAUGAUUUUUCUAGAUAGAUAAAAAAUAAACGAAGCGGGACAUCUAAAGUGAGUAUCGAUUAUCGAAUAAGUAUUAUAUACUUGAAAUUCAUUUUCAUUAUCGAGAAUUCAACAAUUUAAUUAUGAAUUUACGCAUAAAUUGUCAUAAUUAAUAAAUAUAAAUUUUAUUAUUUAACAGUAUGAAAUGCUGAUCAUAUCGAGGAAAGAACCAUAAACAAAUAGCAAAAGUAACAACUUGCAUGGAUAUUUAUCAAUUUAUGGCCUUAAGUUAUCGAAUUUUAAUUUUGCCUUUAAUGACCUAGCAUUUGACAUUUAAAUCAAUUAUUGAACCUAAUCACUUAAUUUGUUGUAUUAGUUUUUUCCUUACACCUAAUUUUUUUUCCUUGUUUCCCUUUUAGUUUUUGGAGUCUAAAUUGAAGCCCUGACUAAAUACGAAUUACUCACUGUAAAACUUAUUCGAAGGUGAUGCUCCCAAUAAGAUUUUCUUCAUCACCAGACUUUGAACUCGAGAUCUUUGAUUACGAGAGUAGCAAUCUCACUAUUACUAUACCACUCCAACAUUAACUUCCAUUGUAUAUUAGUUAAUCAUAGAGCAAGUAUACUCAUAAUCAUCAUCAUAAAAAGAAGUCAACUCUUUUAAUGUCUUCUUUGGAUCCUUUUAUUACCAAAACACAAAUUAAAAGUGAAAGCAAGUAAAUUUUUAGAGAGUUGUGUGUAGCUUAUCUAAUGGACGGUUGGAUGAUGAUGUUGAUAGUGAGAGGUGGGGCCCAACCAAAAAAGAAAAAAGAAUUUUCUAGAGUUAUUGGAGUUAUAUAUACAUGGGUAAAAAUUGACAUGUAUAUAAUAUCAAAUUAUUGUUUGAUUACAUGAUAUUUAUCGAUCAAAAGAUAAUUGAGUCAUCAAAGUAUGAAUGAUGUGACCAUACUAUAUAUGCAAGACACCUCACAUAUUAUCAAGACUAAUCCAAUAUUUAGAUGAAUAUGAGUUCAAUUCAUCACGUAAAUUAAGAUUAAUAUAAUAAACGUUUAGAUAAUAUUUUGAAAGAAGCAAAUAAAUAUGUAGAUUUUUUAACAAAUGAAGUACAUAAACAUAAAGAAGAUAUCGUAAUCAAUGAAGCUCCGCUCAAGAAAAUGGAGUUAAAGGUAUGUUUUGCUAGAUGUAAGAAAAUAAAUAAAUAAUUGAAGUGAUAAUAAUUAAUUAAAUCGAAGAAAUUAUUAGAAACACUCUAAGCCAUAAUGGAAUAUUGCAUUAGUUUUGACUUUUGAGUUAGUGAUUGGUUUGUAUUUAUGGGUUUGGUUACAAUCCAAUUAAUAAAUUAUAAUUAAAUCAAUAGCAUUAGCCUCGUGUUUAAAUUAAUCAGGCUUUAAACAUAAUAAUGAGAUAAUAUUGCAAUUAAAAAUUAAAAAUAAAAGAUACUGUAUAUCACUAUUUUAAGAUAACAAUAAUGAUAAUAUAUUCUCGUAUAAUUUUACAAAUUAAAUAUGAGAAGAUAUAUCUUUAUGAAAUAUGAAAAUCAAUUUCGAUAGACCAUCUACUUGAAAUAAAGAGAUAUUUAGUGAAUGACACGAAUGAAAAUGCUUUGUAUCAAAAUUCCAUUAAACUUGAGUUUUUCACUAUUAGCAUAUGGUCUAUGUUUAAGAUGAAGAAAAUAUUAUCAAAUUCACUCAUAAUAAUAAUAAUAAUAAUAAGUAAAUUUAUGUGAAAUGCUUUGGAUAUCUAACUUGCUAUAUACAAUAAAAUACAAUAAUUAUUUAGUCUUUAUAUACACAAAUCAAUUACUAUAAUAUAGUUCAAUCAUUUCCACAAAUGAUUUUGACAUUUUAUAAAAACAAAAAUGAAUGAAAUAUUAAUGCUAACAUGGCACAUGUUGAACUUAGCUAUCAUUGAAAAAUUAAGGUCCAAUUUGCGAACUUUUCUUUGAUUCUUGACACAUGUCAUGCUGGAUUUGAAGAAAUAGAAAUGAAAGUCUAAUUCCGCUAGAGAAAGUUGAAUAUGAAUUAAACCAAAGAGGAGUUUUUGACUCAAAAAGUAGUGGCAGGAAAGGAAGCAGCACACCAGGAGUGAAGACGAAACAAGAUUUCAGUGAUUCCGUCUUCUAUUAAUUCUUUAUUCAAAUUCAAUUCCAACAAAUAAACAGAUUUCUAAACUUGUUGGAUUUUUUCAUCAGAUAUUUCAACUACGUCAUUUUCUACUAAAUAUUGAAUCCUCAUAAUCCGUUCCCUUUAAACAAACACCGUUGUCUAAUGUAGAACCAGAUUUAUGAUGAGUAUUGAUAGAGGAUACGUAUUUUGUUCCACAACUCAUUAGUCCAAUUGAUAGUGAAAAUGUUCGAGAAUAAUUGUGUUUUACUUAAGUCAUUUGAACACAAUUAGAAAAAAAUGAGACUAACACGAGUUUUCUUCAUUCCUUCAAUCAAAAUUAUUACAGUUCGAACACAAUUAAAGACAUUUAUAAUAGAAAAGCCGAUCAAAAUCAACCAAUAUUAUUUUUUUAAAAAAAAUUUGGACCAUUUCUCGAUUUGUGCGUGUCAUCCUUGCGCAUGGGCCAUGCUAAUCUUCUCUGUAUGUUCCAAUUUUAAAGGAACAAAUUAUGGGUAGUUCAAUAAUUCAAUAGAAAAUGACAUAGUUAAGACAUUCGAGAAAAAAAUUCUAACAAGUUUAGAAAUUUAUUUAUGUAAUCGACAAAAAUUAACAUCAUUUAUCACUUAGGAGACGUGAAUAUAACAAACUUAUUAUGUCGAUUUUAAUGGUUGAAGAGAAUAGAGUAUAUAUUUCAUUAUUUUUGAUAAAUUCUCGAUUAAACAAGAUAAAUAUAUAUAGAGUAAAUUGUUGUCAAUAGAUUCUGGAGAUAACAAAACAAGAAGCAAAAUUACGUAAACGUUUGAUAUUGAUAUUAGGCAUAAGCCAAUUCCAUUUCGGUUUCAGGGGUAAAAAAGGGAGGAAUUUGUUCUCACAUGUAUUUACGAGAUCAAUAACUUUGGUACAACCUCCAAAAUGGAUCAAUCCUAGCCGUUGAUUAGAUUCUAAUCAAAUCCCCACCCUUAAAACAAACACACUUUUUCACCGAAAUUGAAAAAAGAAAAGAAAGGAGAAUCAAACGAUCACCAAUUACUUAUCAACAUCUAUGCUGCUGUUCCAUCAUAAUACAGAAGUCCUCGAAGCAUACAAACCCAUCACCAUUUUUAUCCACACCUCUUAUCAUACGCCGGCACUCCUCUAACGUGCACCGUGAAUCUCCGAUCUGCCUAAACACGCUAAACAGCUCAUCCGCCGUGAUCUUCCCGUCGUGAUCGGCAUCGAAGAAAUCAAAAGCAUCUCUCAGCUCAGAAUCACACGCCGGCGGUCCAAACGCUGAGCUAAUAGCUCCGAAUUCCUGUAAACUAAUACAUCCAUCUCCGUCAACAUCAACUUCUUCAAGCAACAACAUGAGUUCCUCCUUACUCGGUGGUUCAGUCCCGACUCUGCUUAAAAUCGCUUCCAGCUCUUCCUUCCUUAUCUUACCGUCGCCGUCAGUAUCCAUCAUGUGAAACGCAUGGAUUAGCUCAGCGUAAACUACUUCCGCAGCAGAGAUUUCGUUCGGUAAGACGCUAGUUGGAGUAGAUGAUCCGGUUGGUUUUCUGAAGCCGCGAUGAGGAAGGGAAUCGGAAUCGGAGGAGGAACCGAAGGAUGAGGUUUGAGAUCUGGAAAUUGAUCGAGUUUUUUUGUAGUUGAAGAGCUUUUUGGGGAAGUUUUUGAGGAGCUUCAUAGCUAUGGAGGAUGAGAAAGUGAAAUGGAGAAUGAAAAAACAAGAAAAGAUGAGUGUAUGAGAUAGAGGAAGAAGAUGGAGAUUAAAUGGUAGAAAGCCAUGGUGAAUUUCCAGGAAACUUCGUAGUGAGAGAAAAUGAUUUGAAGAGAAUACACUGUACUUUUGGUAUAUUUGUUCAAUUAUAUUUGGACCACUAUGGCCCCUCUCUUUCGAUACGAAUUUAAAUUUAGUCUUUAGUUCAUCGAUAUCGAAUCAAAAGCCUGUAGUACUCAUUCAAUAUUUAAUAUUUGUAUUCAUCUGCAGAAUUAUAACUUAUAUACUCAAUCUAUUUGUUCGAUAUUUGAUUUAAGUGUAGAGUUACAAACUCGUAUAAUCAUUUCGAUUUACUUGAAUUAUAUAUUUUUUAAAACUACACUAUGAAAAAGGACCAAAAAUAUCGCAAUAUCAACCUUUUUAUCUUAGAUUUAUUAAUUUUCAUUAUUUUCUAAUCUUUUAUUAAUAAAUCAAAAUAUAUUUCUUAUAAUUUUAUACGUAUUAUAAGUUAUAACAUUAUGUGAUUACAAAAACUUUACAUUAAAAGAUACAUAAUUAAAUGUUCAUAAGUAUAGAAAUACUAGUUUACUAUUUAUAGAUAGAAAAUCAAGUUUACUAUUAAACUCAAUGAUGAUAUAACUAAAAAAAAUCAUAAAAUUUAUUGAAUCAAAGAAAACGGACAAUACCUAAGUCACUUUCAUUAUUUAUGUUUGUGGGACUUUAAUUUAAUCGCCAACUACUAGAAGUAUUCUGCAUUUAAAGAGUGAUAAUUAUCUCUUUUAGAAUGUGUUUGUGAAAAAAAUGAGUGGUCGAGGGAUGUUACGUGUUUAUCAUAAUUAUAAGUUAUAAUAUAAUGUUUAUUUUUCAAAUUAUGUAGAGAAAAGAAAAAAGAAUUUUAUUGAACGAAAAUUAAAGAACAUAAAAGCUUUUAGUGAAAAAGUAAUGUAAAAAGAAAAAUCAAUUAACUUAUAUAUCGGUUGAUAUUAAUAUCGAGUGUAUGAUUGGACAUAUAGGUUACAAGAUUUAAUUAAUUUGAUAGGUACUUAUGAUUGAUAAUCAAUAAGUAAAUGAUUGGACAUAAGUUAGUUUUAAUUAGGUUCAUUAAUUAUAUAUAAGAGAAUCAUCUUAUGUUUAUAUUCUAACUAUGGUUUCCUAUUCAUUCAUUGCACCAAAACUUGGUGUUGGAUUCAUUGUUGCACGCCAAGAUAGGCUAACACAUUAUUUUAGUAGCAAAAGUUACGUCCAAGUCAGAUUCUUUCUCAGUAAGAUAGUAAAAUAUAUAGCCUCGAUGAAUAUACUACUUAGCUCUAAAGAAAUAUAUGUAAUAUUCAUGACACGUGAGCAUUAAAAAGAACGAUCGAUUCACAAACUUCAGAAUUAACAUCUAUCGAAGAAAACAGUACACAACACUUUAUAGAUUAUUAAUUUGUCUCGUUUGGUCUUCACUUGUCUAAAUGCAGUUAAUAACACCAACUGACAGCCCAUUCAAACGUCUUGUAAUUAGACUUUAUGGCCAAACUGCUUCUGGACCACAAAAAUUAAAUUUAUAAUCGAAUUCCAUUAGUAAAAUCCGAAAAACAUGAUAGAUAUAUAACUUUUGAGAGGUACAUGCAUUAUUUUCAAUCGCAAAAGUAAUAAUAAUGUUACGAUAACAAUAUACUUAAUGUGAUUCUGUCGUUAUCCUAUCCCAACCUUAAGAAUUAGCUAGAGAAAUUGUUUACGAUAAAUUCUCUAUUAUUUAAAGACUUGUGACAACUGGAAAACCUCCUGGCCAGGACUCAAAAAGACUUGUCAACACACUUCAGUGGCAGACAAUUUGCACAUGCCACUCUUCCAAAUGCAGAGAAACAGGCAACUGUUUUGCCUAUACAAAAGUCACUCAGAUAGUCACCAGACACAGGAUAUUUAGACAUGUAAAAGACAAAAUUCAGCUCGAAGCGUUACCCUUGAAUAGUUCAUACAGUGUGCGGUCUAAGGUUUGAAUAUGUAUAGGCAAAAUUCUACUCGAAGCGUUACCUUUGAAUAGGUCAUACAGUGACUGAUCUAAAUUAUAGCGCAAGCGAUCGGUCAAAUAUGGUUCUCCAUAACACAAUUUAACUAGGGAUAUAAGAAACAAGAAAAAGAUUCUUUAAAAUUAGCUCAGAAUUAUCAAAGUUGUAAAUUUUCAUUGAGGACUAAAAGUACUAUGAACUAGUAGAAGAGUGAUGAUCAGUACACUAAAAAAUAACUACACAUAAAAUUAGUAACUCUUGUAUUUACAAUAUCAAUUCUGAGUGUGUUAGCUCUGACUAUAAACCAUUGAGUAUAAAAGAAUAUUUUGAGUGUUCUGUGUCCUGUGCAGAAUAAUCAAAGCUAAACGAACCUCGUUUUCUCAAUGAUCGAUAACUUGCUUGUCGAUGACUUGUUUAUCUUCCCCAUCAUCAAUGGUUGAACGAUUAUCACCAGAGUGAACGGAAUCAACUUCAUUUAUCUUGCCACUUUCUUGCUCAACAUAGUCCUCACCAUCCUCAGAUACUGAGCUAAUAUCCAUCUCCUUUUCUGGACUGUCAAGUUGCACACACUCAGCAACUGUAUCCUGCACAGAACUGUUAUUUUCUGAAUCGAGGCUUCUAUUCGAUGGGGUUACGUCUCCUUUUCUUACCACGUUGAAGACAAUACCGUUGUUAGUCCUUUCUGGCUGUAGAAGGUCACCUUCACCUACCAUAAUGCUUGAACUACCCGCGGGGACUCUAAUACUGAAGUCUCUUUGAUCAAAUUCGGUGUCUGAAGUUCUAUCUGGAGUUGAUACCCUUGGGCUCGGGGAGAACAGGUCUCUACCAGCCAUCUGAGGAACGAGAUUGUUGAGGUCAAUAGUCAAUCCUUUGUUCAAUCGUGAACCAAUCUCCAAGUUCUGGACAAAGUCGAUAAACUUAUCAGCAGAUGUUGUCCUCAUCAGAGGACCACCAGAUCUUGUCCAAGAGUUAAGGUCCACAUUUUCGGACUCGCUGUCACUGCCAUCAUGUGCGCUCCGGUGUGUUCGCCAAUUUCUGGUGGUAUGUGCGCCGGAACCACUGCCUCCUUGAUGAUGUGAAGCAGCAACAUCCGCAAGAAAGUCUUCAAGGGAACCUGUUGAAUUCUCUCGUGCAAUGCAGUUCCAAGAAGGAAUUCUUCUGGAAGCAUUAAAUCUGACAGUGCUUGACAAGCCGUGAGAAGCAGCAGCCGCUCUCUCGGCACUCCUUUUCAGUCUACGCAUGUGAUUCAGAAUAGCAACACAUUCAUCAAGUGCAAGCUCAAUUCCACAGUUAGCUUUAAUGGCUGAGAGUUUUUCCCAAGUGCACCGUCUUCCUUGAUUUGCUGCCUUUUGCAGCUCCAGAGUAGAGGGGUUCUGUAUGAUUUUCGAGUACUGUAUCAUAAACAAAAAUGGAACAAAGAUCAGUGUCAAGCCAACCUGCAGUCUUCCUUGUACAACUUAUUUGAAAAUAGAGACAAAAUUUCGAACAAACUUGUCAUGAUUUACGAAACAACACUUUUUCCUUAAUUGCAAAAAGAGAAAUUGCUAGUAGUGGACAUACCUGAGCUAGAGUGGCAGGCAUCACAACAGUUACGUCACCCUCCCAAUCUUGAGCAAAAAGCUUUGCUAUUCCUCCCAAGGGAAAACCAAGUUCUAACACCUGGUGGCAUCUGUGCUUCACCUCCAUUUCAGCAAGCUGGGCAAGCUGCACGGCCAAAUACUUUAUGUUACAAUUGUUCUGCUUAAAUUCAACGCUAGGAGCAUGCAAGGAUAUGAGCCAUGAACUAGCAAUAGCAAUUCUUAGUUACGAGUUAACAACAACCAACAAGGCCUACAUAGAGCCUACACAUUUGGAGGUCUAAACCAUAGAGCUAAAACAAGUAUACAUGUGAAGAUGCGAUCAGUUGAUCUAACGGAAUAAAGGCAAUUUGGUUGGCUAGAUUUAUAUUAGAUUCAGGAUUUUUCUAUAGGUUUGACACUCAUUCCGCUACUCUAGCACCAAAAGGAUAGCAGAAGAAUAUCAACAAGUGAAUCUUGCUUUGAUUAUAUAAUUCAAAACCACUUUGAGCUGCAAACUGCUCAUUAAAUUUUCCAACAAAAGAUUGUUGCUCAGAAACUGAUCACCAGUGACUUACAAGAACCCUAUUUCUACAAAGGAGAAAAUACCAUAGAGAUGUUCACACCGCUACUUGGCGGUGCAUGUUAACUGUAAAAAUUAUUCUGCAUAUGAUUCCUUCAAAUCAAUCUCUUCAGUGACUUCGAUUGAACUAAAGAGCUUAUUUUAAAUGUUCAAACAAGUGAAGAUUCUUUAAGUUAAAUGAGGGAAUCAAAUAGCUCCUUAUCACCAUAUGGUUGAAGUCUAUGGUAUACACAUCUACCUAUAGAUACAGAAUAAUUACUUGAAACUAACUCAAUAAUCACAACAACCAAAAGCAAAGUACUCUACACUUCUGUUGCAAUGAGACAAAUACAUGUACAAGAGUUAGAUGAUGCAUUAACAGCGACCAUGGACAUCAACUGAAAGCAAAAAGACCAAGACCAUCUAUAAUAAAGACAAUAGAAGUCCAUAUGAACAUACCUUGGCAGCAAAGUUGCCUCCAUAAGCUCUUACAAACUCUUUGAUCCUCAGUAGAGGAGCGAUAUGUGGAUUCGCCUGGCUCACAAUGAAGUGAUUGACAUUGAAGAGCUCCUUUAGCUGCAUCAUUGGCAAAUCAACCUCCAAGCUACCAUCCCUCCACCGGCGAGAAGAUGCACCAGAAGUGUCAUCAGGUCCCAAAUGAAAUGGUGGAUGAUAUGGAACAAGAUCUCCACUUCUAUCCUUUGCCAUCAGUUCUUGAGCUUCGAAGAGACCAGGAAAGGCACAAGAAGCAGUCACAGCACUCCAUAUAACAAUAUGAGGUGAAGUCAAGUAAUUCAAGCAUCUAGGAGGUUCAUGUUUCCUAGGGGAGCAAACAGUAAUCCCGAGAACUCUACCAGUCAUGUCAUAGGCUUCUUGGAAAGUAAGAUUAUUCGUGAGAUUGCGUAAAAGUACCUGCAGCUGUCUGAUUUCAUGUACAGCACCCUGGGUCAUGACUCUCCUGAAAAUAGUAAAAAUUCCACCUAACUGAUCGAAAAAUUGCAAGGAGUGCCAGGAGUCUUCGAAAAAACUCUGGAGCUCAGGCCAAGAUCGAGUCGCAACUAUGGAGCACAUAAUCGAUCCGACACUUGAACCAGCAAUUAUCCGUGGCAGCAGCUUGUGUUCUACAAGCGUUUUCACCACACCAACAUGGAAAGCUCCUAGAGAGGCACCUCCACUUAAAAGCAAAGCCGUCCUACCAAAGGCAUGUCUUGUUUCAUGCAUGAAAGCAAGCUUCUCUUCCAACAGAAGCUCCUCUGAAUCAGAGUCGCAUACCAUUUUCAACUGAGUUGAAACCUCAUCAAUAUAUUCCUUAAUAAGUCUAGGCACAUGAAGCCUUCCCUUGUGAAGUUCUGAAUUGCACAUAUUACCAAGAUUCCUUACAAGGUCAGCUCUCAUACAGAAAAUGAUAUCUCUCAGAGAACCCUCUUGCCUACGAUGUCGAAGCUCUUGAAGUUUAUUUCGAACUAAUUCUUCAUCAUAAAGAUCUGCCUCAUUCAAUUUAGGUGUCUCUUUAUCCAACAUCUUAGCAGCAUGAGCCCACUCCUCAUAAGUCAAGGCAGAUCUCAUCAUAUUCCUCCAAAACUUCCUCCUAUAAGCCAUCUCAGCCUUAACUUUUACAUUAGUAUACCGCCUCAACAAGAAGGCGAGAAGCGUUACUAAUGCCAAUAUCCCUUGUGGAUUGCGAGGGUGCAACCACGAAAUCAAAGGUGUCACAUAGUACGAAAUUCCACUCUUAAACUUGUACAAGUAAUACAUCAAGAAAUGAAACAAUCGAUGCCUCAACUGCGUAAUCGACUUGCAAAACAAGACUCUAAAGGCAAUUGUUCGACCCAAUAUCGUAGAAGGUCCAAUAGCAAAGAAGUCAAUAGUAGCCUCAUUACUUAUAUCCAUCUCAAAUGGACAAAUGAACUGGUUCCAAUAGGUUGCUCAGCAAAAUGUUAAGACAAGCAAUACACAAAUACCUAAUAAUCUAAAGGCUCUAAACUUAUACCAAUUGAACAAGAUUAGCACAACAAAGGUCUGUACUAUCUCUGAAUAUCAAAGUAACACAGAAACUAACGAUACUCUGACAAAGGUUAUUCACAAGAUUCAAAGUAAUCAGAUUGAACCAGAAAUUAACAAAGCUAAGUUAAAGUUCAAGAAUAGACCUACUAGAUCAAAGAAAAUACCUCAUAUAUUAGGAAAGUCAAAGAGAUAAAUUCCCAAUCUUUUCCUGUUUCAACCUAUCCCUUUGUACAAAAUCUUGUCAAUUCAGCUCAAACACCAACAACAACUUGACAAAAGCACAAAACCCAACACACCCAGAAAUCAAGAUUCAAUCUUUUAACAUCAAGAUUCAAUUUUUAUGCAACCCCACAAACCAAAAUCAAAAGGGGUUCUAGGAAUCAACCAAAAAAACUAAAAUUUCUCAAAGCAAAACCCAGAAAAGGGAUAAGAACUCAAGAACAGGCUAAUGCUUCUUUUUCAAAAAAUACAAAGAAAAUGUGAAAAAUAAUAAAUUUAAUCGCACUGCAAUUUGGCACAGAUUGGAUUUAAUAGAAUCAUAUUGGGAUUCGAAAAAGGAAAAAAAAGUCAGAAAUUUGGAUCAGAUAACGAUUUGAGUAUAUGGUUAAUAAACUGACGUAUGAUAUGUAUCAGCUAAGGAAGUAUGGAUAGACAUGAUUGAAUAUAUUAUUUCUAAAAUUCAAUUCAAUUCUAUAAAUAUAUAAAAUAAAAUAUUAUUCAACAAUUUUCCUAUUCUGCAGAAAUUUGUAAAUCGUUUUAAUGAUUUUUUAAAAAAAUAAAAGUUUGAAUUUGUCCUUUUCUCCUUUCUCAAUAUGAAAAUUGUUUUGAUUUUGUGAGAGAUAGGAGAAAAGGGCAAAAGUAAAUGUUUUCGAGAUAUGAGGUUGUUGCUUGCAAGUAAUUUAAUGACUUUUUUUAUUUUAUUUUUUCCAAUUUUUAUUUGGUAUUCAAUAUUUAAAUUCAAAUUUGAUUAAUGAAAAUUCGUGUAGAAUAGGUUAAAUCCAAAGGUGGCGCGUUUCUAACAAGGACUCGAAAUUGAAAUUUAGAUUAAAAAGGAAUUGUCUAUUUAAUGCACCACAUCUUUAGAUUACUUUUAGGUUGGAGUAUACAUUUAUAGUUCGACUCGAUUUAAUUUCUAAUUUCUAGUACUAAAAAUCAAAAUUAAAUUAGUAUAAUAAACUUUUUUAUUUAUUUUCAGAGUAUAAAAUAAAAACACGAUAAUAAUUUGAUAUAAUGAAGUAUAAUAGAGAUAUAAAACACGUGCAUUAAAGAAAUAUUAAAAGUUUUAGAAGUAAUUAAUAAGCAAUAAUACUCAAAUAUUAUUUAUUUUUUUGGUUGUGUGUACAUAUUGAGAAAAUGACAUUUGAAAUACCUUUCAAGUAAAUCAAUUUAGAAUUAGUAUUACAACUUAAUGAUAUUAUUUGUUGCGUGUGUUCACAAUACUAUAAUUAAUAUUCUUUGUCCCUAUACUUGAAAAUGUUUAGUUCAUCAAUACACAUACAUAUACAUAUUUAGUUGUCAUAUAUAUAUAUAACUAUUUAUAUACAUUGACAGUUUACGUAUUAAAAGAAAAAAAACAGUAGCAUAACACUUGUGUGUCAUAUAUAUGCCACUAUAUAUAUGAUGAUAUGCGUAAUAUUAUAAAAUGACUUAUACAUAAGAUACAUACACACAACAAAUAUAGAUAUAUCACAUAUAUCUUGUGUAUAAGUUAAUGUAUACGUAUUGUAGAAUAAUAUAUGUGACAUAUAAUGAUUUACAUACAUUCCGACGUAUAUACAACUAUUCCACCAUCACCAGAAGAAGAAGAAGAUGAAGUCAAUGACACUAACGAGAAAGAUAAAGAGAGACUAUUUGAAAUUACAUUUUGUUAGUGAGAAUUUAAUUUUUCUCGAUCUAAUUAAGACCAAGAGAGAGAAUUGGGAAGAAUGGAAGGGAUUAGGUUUAUCAAAUUAAAAUCUAAAAUUAAGGUAUUGCUAUGUUUUGUAAACUAAUGUUAUGUUAGAUAAUAAAUUAAAAACAUUGCUAAAACGGAUAAAUCAAGGAACUUUUAGUCUUUUAUAAUCUAUUCGAAUUUAGAUCACAUCAUUUUUCCUUUUAAAAGAAAAAUUGUACAAAAUAGCAAAUAUUUAAAUCAAAAUAAAUUCUAUAGCUAUUGUUUAAAAUAUUUCCAUAUCAAAUUUUGCACAAAUUUUGCCAUUUGGUUCGGAUCCACAUCAAGCGGAAGAUUUAUUUUUAUCCAAAUUCAUUCCCUAUCUUUUCUCUCCCAUUUUCUUUCAGUUAUCCCUAAAAUUUCUUCCCAAAUCAAUUAUUUUUAAUUGGUUGUGGCCCACCUUCUAUUUUUAUACAAAUAUGUUAGCUAUAUUUUUAAUAGCAAUAUAUUACCCCUCCCUCCAAAUUAUGUAUUUAUUUACUUACUCUAAAUAAGGAUUAUUUUAUAUAUUCCAAUUUUCUUAAAUAUAUUAAAGUUAUUAUUUUUUCUAAUAGAAGAAAAAAGAUACUGUCGGUGCCGACUUCGUUGUUAUAGUGACCUUCCAACUAGAAUUCCCAAAUACCCUUGAAAAUAUUUAUUGAUAAUUUAAAUCUUUUGAACUAUUAUAUUUGAAAUUUCAAAGUUUUUAAAUUCCAAAUUUUUUUAUUUUAAUAAGGUUUAUCUAAUUGAUAUACAUUUUAAAAAUGAUUUGAGUAGUGUAACUUUUUUUUUCAUGGUGUAAAAAAAGCCUUUGCUUAAUUAUUAAGAUUUCAAGUAUUUCAGUAAUAUAUUAAAUAUAAUUUUAUGAAUAAAAUUUAAAUAUGAUAAUAUAGACGCAAAUCUUAUUAAUUAUCUUUAAAUCUGUGCAAGUAAAUAAAAAAUUAAAAGACUAAUCACUAUGACCCAACAUCUAAAUUUGUAAUCUAUUAUCAUUUUUAAACACACUAACAAGAUAACCUAACUUUCUUGUCAACUAGUCAACUACUACCUUAUAAUAUAAAUUAUGGAAUAUAAUCACUACCAUUCAUGUAAUAUUAAAUGAAAAAAGUCAAAUCUUGGAGAGGCAAAUAGCAUUGGACGAAGACUAUAUUAACUCAUCAGAUUAUCGAAUUUGAGUCAUGAGGAUAAAGAACCUGUUGGAAGUUGGAACUUGGAAGUGAAACGUUUAGUCCAGUUAACGGACCCAUGUGACACAUAUUUAAAUUCGUUAAGCUAGUGAAUUUCGAAUAAAGUACUAGCUCAAAACUUUGACAUCUAGAUGGGACAAAACACCAUUAAGAAACCAAACAAGCUUAGGUUCUUUCCUUGCCUUUUUCAUUGCUCAAUCAACAAAACACCCCAAAACAAGAUAAACCAACAAGUCCAAUUUCAAAAGCCAUCACCAAGAAUAGACUAAUAAAGAUUGAAAAACAUCAUAUUUUUUAUGCAAAAUGAUAACAAAUUUUGGCAACACAAAGUCACCUUGGAGAAGAUCAAAAUCAAGAAUCAAGCAGGUAUCUCCUUCUGAUUAUGCAGCAACCCCUCAACAUCCAUCUUCACUUGAAGUAUCCGAAUUGUCGUCUCAUUGUAUGAAGGCAACAAGUUGUUCUAAAGGGAAACAAGGUCAUACUCUUGAUCAUAGUCCAUCUAGUAGAAAAUCGUCGAGUUCUAAGUCAACUUGUUCAUCCACACUCAAGGAUUCAAAGUUCCCUCAACAAGUUGAACUUCAUCCUGGACUAAAUGAAUCAGACAGGAUUUCAAAAGUGAAAGUUUGUUCAUACCAUCAUUGUUCACUCAAUAAACACUCUGAUGAUGAUCCGUCUCCACCAGUAAAACGCGUAUAUAGAAGAAGAAGACUGUUAAAACCACAGAAAAGUAGGAGACUAGAAAGUGAGUCAACAAAUGCAGAUCAGUUUUCUAUUGAGAAAAGCAACCUUAAACAAGAUGUUGGAGUUUUCGGAGUAAAUGAGCCUAAUGUUGAGAGUGUGUUUGGUGAAGAGAGAAGUUAUCAAGAGACGAUCGAUAUAAUGAGGAAAUAUUCUACACAAGAGCAGGAUACACUGGUUAGUUCUGACGUAGAAUCAAAUGAUCAGAGUGUAACAACAUCAGUUUUCCGCGAUAUAGAGGACAUAGAAGCUGAUUUCUGUCAUGCGGUUCUGAUAAAGCCGGUUGACAAUGUCGUUACCACGGGUGAGGAGGUUGAGGAUAUCAACAGAGAACUGCAUGAGAAUGAAACAUCGUUGAUAUAUGAUCUCGUUGAAGCAAAAUGUAGCACUGAGGUUUCCUCUGCUUUAGCUAGCAACGAUACAAUGGAACUCGUAGACAAUUUGCAAGAGACGGAUGACAAAGCUAAUCCAACUGAAGAUGUUGAUCCCAAUGCCUCGUCCAAGAAGGUACACGUAGCCCAGCUUCCGAAAGAGAAGCUCAGGAGCAUGUGGAGCCUGAUUCACAGACAUAUGAUAUCGGAGGAAUCUACAGAAUUGGAAAGCAAAGUGAUCCGUGGAACUGAUGAAGAUAAUCACAAGGAUGGGAGCAACAAGUCUUGUGCAGCAGAAAGCUCUAAUUCAUUUUUGAGUUGUUCCGAAAGAGAGUCAAUGACUACAAAUCAGGAUGCAAAUAACGAAGAGAUUGAAGCGCCCAAGAUUUUGGCAGUUAAGCUAGUACGAGAAGCAAUCGAGAGAAUUCUUCUUCCAGAAGUUCAAGAUCACUCAUCAGAUGAUCAAUUAGUAACAAGUGAAGGUAAGACAUGAAUACUUCUACAUGUGAUUGUUUACUCUCCUCUCCUUAAAAGUAAAAACUUUCUGCUAAGUAUUGACAUAAGCAUUCAUUAUACAACAGUGUGUAACGAAGAGAACUCCAACGAGUCAGACACCAAGAAUGAGGAAUGUGAUAAGGCGGAUGAGGGAAUUGUAAUCAGAGAAAACAUUGACAGCCCUCAUGAGAUACAGGAAAACGAAGAACGAGUCAUGAACAAAGCUGAGAAGAAAGCACCAACGCACUGGAGCAAUCUUAAAAGAUGGAUUAUUCUCCAACGAUUCAUCAAAGAAUUGGAAAAGUUGAGAAAAUUCAAUCCAAGGAAGCCACGGUAUCUGCAGCUGGAGCCUGAUCCUGAAGCAGAAAAGGUUAAUCUGAAACAUCAGAUGGAGGAUGAGAGAAAAAGUGCAGAAGAAUGGAUGCUUGACUAUGCUCUACAGAAGGCGAUAAGUCAGCUUGCUCCGACUCAGAAAAGAAAAGUAGGACUACUUGUAACAGCUUUUGAAAAUGUGGUUCCUCCUCGAAGCAGUAAUAUCCAGGUUACAUUUCCUAAAUUGGAAACUAGAAAUGAAGACAAUAUGCAAACUGCAGGCAAGGGAAAGGCAUCAGUCUCCAAUGCAGAUAAUGUUCGUGAACACGUAGACAAAAGGGAUGCAGAAGAUGACAGUUCGAUGUUAAAAAAUGAUGAUACUCAAAAGGCCAUUGUCCUCUGCCAGAAGCUGAAUGAAGUAGCAAGCACUUCGAGUGACAAGGGAUCGGUUGAAAUAGUGGAGUUUGGUGAUUCAAAUGAUGAUUCUCAAAGAGGAACAUCUUCUACUAUCUCAAACUUAGGCAACGACGGUGAUGAAACACAGGAAAAUAACAUAAAUCUCUCUGAAUGUGAGGCCAUGGAGAGUAGUACUCUAUCCAGUGAUGAGAACGAAAAGAUAACAGAAGCAGAAGACGAAGACGAAACAUACAGAAAACAGGUCAACAAACAGAAGCACAUCAGCAUGUGGCAUUUGGUAUCGCAGCACAUACUUUCAGACGUUGUAUCAAAAAUAGGGAAUGAACAACUCGAUGAGGUAAACUACAACAAAACACUAGCUGAAACGAAUAUGGACAACUCCCUUCACGAUUUCUCUGAAGAAAAAGAUGAUAUGAGCCACAAUGGCAGAAGUUUCAGCAGAAAUGAUGCUGUCAAUCUCAUAAAAGAAGCUGUUAGCCAGAUACUAACAACGCCAAUUCAAGAUGAUUCAUCCAAUACACAGAGUGUCACUAGUGACAUACUUCCAGAUGAGGAGCCACCAAAAACUGAUCAUACAGAUUGCGGAGAGCAAAAUAGUACAAAUUCACUCAACGAAAGCUUGAGACAUCGUGACAGUCCAUUAGAAACAACGGAACUUGUUGCUAAUAAUCCUAUCACCGAGAGUAAAUUUGAGCCACCAAAGUCCAAGAGCUGGAGCAAGCUGAAGAAAUUGAUCCUCCUUAAGAGAUCAAUAAAGGUAUUGGAAAGAGCUCGAAAAGUCAAUCCACAACCCCCUCAACUUUUGCCCCCUACACCUGAUCAAGAACAAGAAAAAGUGGAUUUGAGGAACCAAAUGUCAAAUGAGAGGAAAAAAGCUGAACAAUGGAUGCUCGAUAAUGCAGUGCAGCGCAUGGUCAGUAAGCUAACUCCUGCACGGAAAACAAGAGUGGCGAUGCUUGUGGAAGCUUUCGAAGCAGUUGUUCCACUCCCAGAAGUAUGAAUUCAACUGGAGUGGACUAAACUUUAGUCAAGAAAAUUCCUUGAGAACCUUUUUACGCGAAAUGUAAAGGUAAGCAAAUUAACUACCUACACUUCCUAGAAAUAGCUAAAGGUAACUCAUUAAUAGAGGAUCUUUUUUGCUUUCCCUUUUCAUUGUGUUCCUUGAAUAAGAGCUUGGAGGGGUAACAUUUGAGGGAUCGAAACGAGCUUAUGCACUCGUUUGAUUCUUCUACUCCACAGCGAGGACGCAGACAAGAGUUUGCACCUAUCAUUAGAGGCUAACUGAGGAUGAAAGAACAGUCUUUUUAUCAUGAUAUGUGAUCAAAAAAUCGACUAUUGUACAGAUAAAUAAAACGUAAUUUCGGAAGCUUGAUCAUUCCUUCAGCACAACCAUAUGAUUUUUGUUUUUGGAUUAAUGAAUGGAAGAAACUUUGACUCAUGAGAGUAUAUGAAUCAAUGAAAAUGUUAUCUGAUGCACAAUUUCCUACCUGUUUAUAUUCACCUUAUUAAUUCAUCAUCAAAUAGAACAAGCUAGAAUGAUCAUCUACUAACUAUAUUUCUCCCACAUCGUUUGUAUAUAGAGACUUUUGUGACUUCAUAUAUGAGAAACAAGACUGAUGCAUUCGCCGAGCUUUGUAACGUGGGCUUGUAACCCGAGUGGGGGCAACAAUGUGGUGGAAUGUUGGGUCCAUCUUGAUGGAUGGGCUUGAAGGGCUAAUGUUCUGGCCUGCCCUGUCCAAGCACAGAGUUGGGUCAAGUGGUCUAUACGAAAGUAUAGGCCACUUGGCCUUUAGAGUGGGAUGGACUGCGUGAGGCUGGUUUCACAGAGCAACGACUAGUCCCCGCUCUGUGCAGUGGAAGGAUCACGGGCUAGUGCUCUUUGAGUCCUAACAAAAACCUGAUAGGUUGCCUAAUUAAACCAUCACUUUUUUUGGGCCCUAAAUCUUGCAUAUUAUGUCUAUGUUGGUAUUUAUAUAAAAUCAUGUCAACUUACUAUACAUUAAAAGUAAUUUAAUAAGGAGAAAUUUGUAAUAAGUUAGCUCGUUUUGGCAAUCUAUUUGAAAUCGCAAGUACUAAUAGUGAUAAAGUAAUUAAUGUUAAGUACGUAACUAUAUAUAAAUACGAUUGCACUUUUUGUGAUCUCUUUUGUUCUAUAGUUUUGGUAAAUUCAAAUUUGAUUCAAGGCUCUUUUGAUCUACAAUCAAUCUCUUUAGCCGCGAGAAGAUUUGGGUCUGUCAAAAAAAACUAACACUUUUUCCAACGUUUCUACCGUAAGAUGGGAAGUCCUCCAUUAAAAAAAGCAGUCAAGCGAUGAAAUUGCGAAAUAGAAUAGUUUCCACUUUCUUGUAGCACCUUCUGUAUAAAAUCGUUAAAUGUCUAAUGAAAUAAUGUCACAGAUCUAGACUUGAUUGAGUUUUUAGUUUUUCAAAGUUUUAUUUACGCUAAUGUUAGGUAGACAUUGUGUCAUAUUCUCCCACAUCGUUUCUGAACAAUGACUUAUUUGUGUUUAUAUUUUAGAUAACAAGACUCAACAUCGCCGAGCCUUGUAAGUGGUGGAAUGUUAGACUGACACUGACGGCUGGGCUUGGAGGGCUAAUCUUUGGCUUGCGAAGGUAUAGGUUGCUUGGCCUUUAGAGUGGGAUGGACUGCGUGAGGUUGGUUUCACAGAGCAACGAAUAGUCCCCGCUUUGUGCAGUGGAAGGAUAACGAGCCGGUGCUUUUCAAGUUCAAUAAACACUUGAUGUGCUGUCUAUUUAAACCACCAUUUUUUUUGUUCACCCUAAUCAAAGGGUCUCGUGUUUGUGUUUGAUUCCUGGAUAUGGAAAGCGAUUCCUCCUUAAUGAGAUCCUACAGCUCUGUCAGUGGAAGGAUAACGAGCCGGUGCUUUCCAAGUUCAAUAAACACUGAUGUGCUGUCUAAUUAAACCACCAUUUUUUUGUUCCUCCUUAGUCAAAGGGUCUCGUGUUUGAUUCCUGGAUAUGAAAAGCUUGUGGAAGCUUUCGAAGCAGUUGGCCAAUAGGCAGCCUUGGUCUUAGUCUAGUUCAUUUUUGUUUUUUGUUCUUUCAUCAUUUCAAACUGUGUGUCAAAUGAGGUAUGAUGAAGUAUUCAGGAUAAUUUCACUGGUCAUAUUUAGAGGCGGAUCAAAGAUUUAAAUUUAAUAGGUUCGACAUUUAAGAUUCUUAAUAUUAAAUUCAUUACACUGCUAAAUUAUGAGUUCAGAUGUAAUAUGUCUUUGAUGUUUUACUCUCUGCCGGAAGCUAUACCCACUCACCCUGGUUACACUUCCAGCACUUGUACAAUUAAAUAUCUGCCACCGAAAAGGACAACAACAACAAUCCUGUAUAAUCUCACCAGUGGAGUUCGGAGAAAGUGAAAUGUAUGUACACCUUACUAAGCUUGUAUGGGGUUAGAGAUGUUAUUUCCGAUGAACGCUUGAAGAAAAAGGAAUCCAACAUUAGAGUGGGGUCAAAUGAUUUAUACGAAGGUAUUGGUUGCUUGUCUCUUUAGAGUUGGGCAGACUGCGUGAGGCUGAUUUCACAGAGCAACGAAUAGUAUCUACUCUAUGCAGUGGAAGGACAACGAGUCAGAGCUUUUCAAGUUCAAAAAACACCUGAUGGGCUGUCUAAUUAAACCACCACUUUUUGUUUACUUCAGCCCUUUUUACCAUCCAAUUCAAUUUCAUUUUUUUUUCCAUUGUUGCUCAAUUCUCAAGUAAAUGCAAAUAAUCUAUUUUUGGGCAAAUGCUUGUGUAAAAUUGAUGUAUAAUGAUAGGUGAAUUUUCUAUACAUAUGAGUUAUCUAAAUGUGUAAAAAGAUAUUUUAAACUGACAAUGUAUAUUUGAAUUAUUACAUGAAAUGAAUGAAAAAUGUAGUAUAGUGGAUGAGAUUGCUCCUUAAUCAAAGGUCUCGUGUUCGAGCUUUGGUUAUAUAAGUAUCCUUGAUAGAGAGCGCUUUCCUCCAAAUGAGGUCAUAUGUGGUGCUAAUUAGUUGAGCUUCAAUGUGUAUAUCGAAUAAAAAAUAAAAAAAUAAUAUCAAUUAGUCUUUCUACUUAAAAAUGUGUCAUAUAAUGGUUGGAGCAACGACUUCCACAUGAAUUAUUUCAUACAAUAAUACAAGUUGAAUGGUUGAUAAUGAUUUUGGGCCAAUGUAUGUGUGUUUUCAUUGACUAUUUUGUGGUGAUAAGUAGUUGGAACUUUCAUAUUGUGGCCAACUUUUCACGUUACUAGUGUAUAUUUUAUUCCACUUAUCUCUUCUAAUAAAAGCAUGCAAUAAUGCAAAUUAAAUAAUGGAGUAAAUUAAUUGACCACAUUCAUUAAAUUGCUACACUUUCAAAAUUGUUGUUCUUCUCUUAAUUAUUUAGAUCUCUAAUUUGUUAACGAGCUAUUAGAAUAAGACUAAAUAAUUUACUCGAAUAAUUAUUGUUAACUAAGAUGGUUUGUGUUGUGAAGAAGAGAUGCAUAUGUUUUGAUAAGUAAGAUCGGCUAUGAUGGAUCUAAGGAGAGAUAUAGAUAGAUCGAGAAUAUAUUAGGAAAAAGUGAUUAGGCGGCAGGACAUGAUACAUCUUUACGUUACAAAUGACGUGACUCUAGAUAGAAAGGUAUACAAAUCGAGAAUUAGGUAAAAGUUUUGAAGAUAGUAAAUACGUGUUGUGUUGCUUUUCUUUGGAAAAGGCAUGGUAAUAGUCGUUCGGAACACCUUACUUGCUCCUUCUUUUCCACAUCAAUAUUAUUAUUAUUUUGUUCAUAUUGUUAUUGUUCUUUUCUCGUUAACAUGACCUCUUCAUUACUGUAUUUUCUUUCAAAAUUGCUUUGAAAUAUUUUACUCAAACUAGAAGUUAAAGCCUACAUACUUAUCACUCUUCCCAAUAAAAUUACACUAAAGAUAUUAUUAUAUUAUUUUUUUUAUAAACCAGACUAAAAUAAUACAUUAUUUGACAUUUUUACCUUUUUUAAAAAAUAAUUCUAAUUCUAUUUUUGAUGUAGACAAUUAUCAAGAUUUAUUUGGCCAGCAAAAGAACAAUAUUGUUUAGUGGAAAGAGAAUCUUUUAUUUUGGUCCAAACACGAAUAUACAAAAUUUAUUUAUUAUAUAUUAGCUCUUAUAAUAAACCAAAGGUCGUUUAAAGUAUCUCUCAAAGAAUAUGAUAUUAAUAAUCCCACUAACCACAUGCCUAAUGAAAUCACUCUCAAUAAUUCUUUUAUAAUAAACAUCAUUUGUUUAAUUAAUUUUUCGAUCGUAAUACUGAAAUAUUAUAAUUUAUUGAGAUGAUGAUAUAAAAACUCAGGUGAUAUAUCAAAGUGGUCGGCAUAGAUACUACUCCUAUAAUAAAUUUAUAAUUAACAAUAAUUAGGUAAAUUAAUUUUAUUUAGUUUUUUGUGAAAGAAAAAAAAACUGUUUUAGGCCUCAUCCACUGUUACAAAAACAAUCUUUAGCGACAUUAAAUAUUGACAUUAAUAAAGAGUAUUUAAGUCUUUAUCGGUAUUAGUUAAAUGUCAUUAAAAUCAAUGUCGCUAAAGACUUUAGAGACAUAUGCAAAGAGUGUCAAUUAUCGCUAAAAAUAUAUAUUUAGCGACAAUUAAGAAUUAAUUGCCAAUAAUAAUCAUUUUUGUUAUAGUAAUCUUUAGGGAUUGGCAACCUCAUAAGAUAAUAUUAUAUUACGUUAAUAUUAUUUGCAUUAUUCGUAAAGAUUGAUGAGUUGAUCCAUAUGGUUGAUUACAUCUCAUAAAUAAGAUCAAAGGAAAUAGAUUGAUUUCUCUAAUCAAUGUCAUUUUAGUCGGAUUUGUUAUAUCAUACUUUUUAAGUGAAAUUUUUAUCAUUCUGUGUGGCUUACAAAUUUUUUUAAGAAAACAAGUUUACUCAGUAUAUAUGAGUUUUCUUUGCGAUUUUAAAAAAAUUAUUUAUAUUUUAAAGUAUUUUACACAGGAAUAAAUAAAGAUUUGAUAUUAGAUAGACAUCUUCUUUUCUAAAAAAUUCAUUAAAUAUUUUUAAUAAAUUCAAUUCAAUAAAAAAAUUAUUGUUAAUAUUUUAAAAGGGAGUUAGUACUUUGACAUAUAUUGUUUACGGAUGGUGUCACAAAUAAAGUCAAAUAAACUCAUGAAUUGGACUAGUGGAGUAUUUAUUUCAACAAAAGCAAAUUCGAAUAUUUCCUCUUUCAUACAAGUAGGUAGAUCAAUGGUACAACCUACCAAGGUGUGAGACGAACUGACUUCUUAAUUUUUAAUCAGAUGUUAUAUAUAUAAAUUGUAAAAGUGAAAAAUAAUAAUUAAUAAGAGUGUUUUUCUCGUAAACAACUUUUGUACACGGCAAAUUUAAAUUUUUUCGUUGAUUUAUUUAAAUAUUUUCUCAAUAAAUCAUCAUUUAGAUUUUAUCUCUAUCUUAAAGAUACGUAAAUUAUAUCUGUUUAAACUCAUUAAGUGUUAGGUUUAGUGUGUCUACAAGUUCUAAGCUUUGAUCCAAUAUUAUCUCAUAUAAUUUUCGAUUUGCUCAAAACAUAUUUUAAUACCGUUACUAAAACGGUUCAUAAUUUAUAUAAAAAAAGAAAAGAUAACGGUCGAAUAUUUUACAAAUUAACGUAUUAAUAAAAUUUAAAUACCAGAUAAUUACUGUUGACACCCAAUUUUGACCCACGUCGGUAGAAAUUAAUUAUCGAGCUUCCUAAAUUUUCCAAAUAAUUCAGAUUAAUUAGUUUUAUAAUUUUGCAAAAAAUAUAACGAUUUAACGUUUACAUAGUGGUGUAUAUAGCCGGUAUAUCUUGUGUAUAUUCUAAACCAACCCAACUUCCCCCCAUCAGCCCACACCCCUCCUCUUCCAAGCCAGGCCCAAGUUCCCUUCAGGCCCAAACGUUCCCAAUUCUCCCACUUCUCUUCCUAAAAUCGGCCCAACACCCAAAAUUCCCCUCAACCCAACCCAAUUCAAACCCAACAUUCCCCUCAACCCAACCCAAUUCAAACCCAACCACCCAAAAACCACCCAAAAACCCGACCCAACACCUGACCCAACCCCAAUAACCCGUUUCCCCCCCCCCCCCCUUUCUUCUUCAGCCCCAUUCAAUCAACAGAAACCCAGAACAACAAACGAAACCCGGAAAACCCCCGCGUCUUCCCCACGCUCUCUCGCUCUCUCCCUCAUCUCCCCACGCUCUCGUCUCCCUCACGCGUCUCUUCCCCUACGCAACACAGCCAAUAAUUCCCAGAAAGAAACGCGACAAACUCCCCUGAAAUCGCGCGAUUCUCAGAUCGAAAAUCCCCAGAAAACAGACGCGACCUCUCCUCAUCGCGUCUCUCCCUCACGUCCUCUCUCCUCUCCUUCCCUCUCUCCCGCGUCUCCCCCACGCUCGCUCUCUCCUUCCCCUCUCGACAGAGACCCAUACCCUGCCGCUGUCGAGCAGGUCUGCAACACGCAAGUCGUCGCUGUCGAGUAGGUCUGCGAGGUGUCAAUUUCAUCCUCUCCAACACGCCUGGCCAUGUGGGUUUUGACCCAAAGGGAUUUCGAUUUUGAGUUCAAAAAAUGGGCGAAAAAUCGUAUCACCGACCCUACAUAAACCCCUCCCAUCUUCAUAAAAGAGGAGGGUUUUUUUUCACGAAAGAGGGGGAUUUUUUCAUCGAAAUUCGAAAAAAGUAGAACUUGGGUUGGACAUUUGGUCAAAAUUAAGGCUGAAUCUUUGGUCGAAACUUUUGGAAGCAAUUUGAGGUUGGAGAUUUCUGGACGAGAAGAAACUGUUUCGUCGAGUGUCGUUGCGACGUUCUUGUUCGAGCGAGCGAAGCAGAGGGUGAUUUCGAGUUCGUGAUGGUGGUGCUCCGCCUGCUCGCUGUCCCUGUUUCGCUGCACUUAAAGAGGUAACACCCAUCUUGACCCUCGACUCUUAGUUGUAUUUGUUGUUUGUACGUUAGUGUUUAGGUUGGUCCUAGCUGCUGUGAAUUUGUUGUAUUGCAGAAGUUGUUUGAAAUUUGUGGUUUUGUCUUGUCUUCGCUUGAUUUUGUCGCAACUUCCUGAAUUUGAUAAAGUUUUAAAGGGAAUGAACGGUGUGUUUGGGGUAUUUCGAUCCGCCGAGUCUGUUUCUGCUCGUUUCCUGCUUCUUCCUCCUGUUUGUAUUCGUACAUGAAUUAGUCUAAGGGAAUCCUUCGUUAUUCUGCUUAUAAUGAGUUGUAGAUGUUACCCGUUUGGUCGAAGUGAAAUCCAAUUUCACUUCAAACUCUUCUGUCAUCAUCUUUAUUGUUAUUUCUUCUUUUGUUUUUCUUUCACUUUGAUGUCAAACUGAUGUGAUGAUGGGUUCGACAGAAGCGAAGUAGUGCAUUGAAUGAUAAUAGUGAUGUCUUAUUUUGGAGUUUUGUCCUUUUUCUUUGUUGUUAGUUCGACAAGUCAAAUUUUAAAUUCAAAGAUUGCCAUAUACAUGCCUUGUUCUGUGAAAUUGAAAGUUCAUUGUUUGGUUGGGUAAGUAAAAUCGCCUCAAUAUAGUUAUUUACCUUGGGUCGACUCGCAUUUGUCAUUACUUUUCUCUUCUGUCGUCUCUUUCAUGUUGCGCUAGUCUGACCUUUCUUGUUACAUGUUGUCGUGUGUCUAUUGAUCCGAUUAGAUACUAUCCAUGGAUAUGCAUUUUCUAUUAAGUUAGUUUGUUUUCUUGUAUAUGUGCCCGUUGAAUCGAAUAUUAAUUCCUUUUGUUUAUUGUGUGGCAUGUAAAAUCCGUUUGAGUUCACCACGAACUCUCCUUCUCCGUAUCUCGAGAGAGUCGUAAAGACUCAUAGUCUUUUACCAAGCAAGACAACCUUAAGAGAGGCGUACAAGUCAUGAAGUUGGAAGGAGAAUCCAAAGUGGAUUAGAAGACGUUUCUUUAUUUUAUUUCCGUAUUUUAUUUUGUAAUGGGCAUAAGCCCUUGUCAUUUUCCUUUCCUUAUUCCUCUUAUAUUUUAUCUUGUAAUGUUUAGACUAGGACAGGUGGCAAAAUGGGUCGAAACACCCAAAAACAGGUGGGUCCAAAACUCGGUCAAGGUGAACAGUACCCGAGUUUGGACCCAAAAAUCUCUCUCUCUCUCUCUCCUUAUUACUUGCUUAUGUGCGUUGUUUAAAGUAUCGUUAGUGUUAGGACUAGAAAAAUCCAAAUCUCCUUCGAAACGCCUUUCUAUUUUAUCAAGCUAAAACUAAGUCUUAAAAUAUUGGACGUUUCAAAUUCACUAGUUCGUUUAGAGUUUAAAAUUUAAAAAGUUUAACUUUAAAAGAAUCUCAAAAACAAUAAGUAUUUCAACUUUUAGAUUUGUCCAAAUAAAACUCUAAUAAAGGUUCAACUUCAAAUUCGCAAAAGGUUAAAAAGUAGUCAAAUAAGUUAAUCGUCGGAAAACCGUAUUUAACGGAGUGUCUUAGGUGCCUUACACCUUCCUAAGACACUAAUAAGAAUCCCGAACCCUUAAAAAAUGUUUCAAAACAAUUGUUCUGUUUAGGUUGUUUAGAAACAAAGUUUUCUUGAUUUUUCUUAAAAAUUAAGUGGCGACUCCUAAAAGUCGAAAAACAAACUCUUUUCGAAAAUCACCCCCUUUUUUCGGUAAAACAGAAAUGGCGACUCCGCUGGGGACUUGGAGGAUUCUAACCUUAAGAUUAACGUAUUUGAUUAUUUGUGAUUAACUGUUUAAGUGUUUAAAUUAAUUAGAUUUUUUAAACUGUUGCAUACAUAGCAUACAUACUUCCGUCAAACGACACUUUUUUACAUUUUCACUAAAGGACGAUUAUGCGGGUUCGCAGUCAUUCGUUAACCAAAAAUCUUCUCGGGGCACCCUGACGAGUGUAGUUGAUUACUUGAUAGUCAACGAUCGUUAAUUGUCCCAGCCCAAGUAGUCCGCUUGGGUUACCCAUUCCACUUUAAAUAUAACCCACUCUUAGUCAAACUAGGAUAGAGCGAAACCAAAUCCCGAAAAUAGUGCAUUGGCCUAGGAUGACCCGACACCCAAGGAGUGUCGGGCCCAUUAGAAAAGUCCACCUUGAGUCCAAAGAGCCUGCGGCUCGAUAGGACGCUCAUGUUUGUUGUUUAAAUUUGAAGGAUGUAUUGCGUGUUUAACUAGUUGUUGUAUCGGGGGGAUUGAAAUUAACUAGUUGUAUGUUUUUGUAGAUGUCAAGUCAGUUCCUUCACUUCAAAAUGGUCACCCAGGCAUCCGACAUUCUUCGAAUAUGGUGGGGCAAUCUUAAGGAGUGUCAAAAGAGAGAAAUCUCGAUUUACUUGGGUCACCUACCUUCGAUAAUGGAUUUCAAGGUAUGGCCCACGUUUAUCGAGGUCAUCACCCGAUUUUGGGACGAUAAGAAGAUGGUCUUUCGAUUUGGAGAUGUCGAAAUAACACCCACACUAGAAGAGAUCAAAGAUUGCCUUGACUCGAUUGGGACGUGUGGCAAAAGGAAAAAGCGUCCCGAUCAUCACAUUCUCUUACCAGAUAGGCCAACCAAGAACGAAUUGAGAGAUAUGCUAUUCCUAGUGAAUGCAGAUUGGUUAGAGACCAACGACAUUCCGCUGAUGAGGUUUUUCGAGAGGUGGGGGCACGACAAUUAUUUUAGAUUGUUCCCGGACGAAUUUCAUGAUCACAGUACUUGGAGGCAAACUCAAGCUAUCGCUUUCUCCGCAUGCCUCUUGGGAACUAUGGUGUUCCCUAAAGACGAAGGUAAAGAGAUCGACACCCGGGUAAUAAUGGUAGUGAAUGCCAUGUUCAGAGGAGUCGGUAGAAAAUCUGAAGAAAAGAAAUAUUGCUGUUUGGCCCCAGUCAUCCUGUCCGACAUUUACCGAUCUUUGAGCCUGUGCAAGAAUGGUUUUCCGUUUUUCCAAGGUUGCAACAUCUUACUUCAAUGGUGGUUGACGGAGCAUCUAUGCAAAAGAGACAACCCCCAGCUACAGGGUUUGGCCGAACCAAGUCAAACAAGUCCUCUCGAUAAUUAUGAGUUCUACUUGAGUAUCCGUAAAUUUCCAAUUCACACCACCAGGGAUGCGUGGGCAAAGGUGUUUUACAAUUUGAAAGAAGGAGACAUACAAUGGGUAUUACCGAGCUUCAGGUCUCAGAUGAUAGCAGCACAAGGGGCCAAAUUGCCAUUUUUAGUCCUUCCCGGCAUCAGAGGAUUGCGUCCUUACAACCCGACACGAGUAAUGCGGCAAUUUGGGAAAGUCCAAAUCAUACCCGCCCAAGGAGAUGCCAGCUCUUUCAUUGUUGAUUACAACGAGAAGGACAAAAUACCUUUCGCUAAAAUUAUCCUCCAGGAAUGGGCCGGACGCGUCAACAUGAAGCGGGAGGUCACCGAAGACAGGUAUGGAGCUGGGUAUAUCGACGAAUACAAGACAUGGUUGCACAAAGAUUUGCGUGGUGUAGUGGAUCCAACACCACGCACGAGUCGGAAAAUCGAAGAUGUGGAGACAAGGCUUCAGAUUCACGCGUACCAUUUUCAGCAAGAGUGGGACCGAAGGGAGCAGGAAUUCUAUAAGAAAGAACAGGAAUUUCAACAAAAAGAGCAAGCAUACCAACUCCGGGAAUUAGAAAAUCAGAGAGUUUUGGCCGUAAUGUCACAAGAAUUAGCUGACACAAGGACUUGUCUAAUGCGUUUGGACACUGUUUUGGACGAGCAGAUGAACACCUUACAAGCCGUACCAACAUCUUCCAAAGCUGCGUUCGCUGAGCCAUACGUGUUCACCAGCAAAUGCAUUAUCCGAGAAGAAGUGGAGAAGGCCAGAAGAGGAGCUGGAUCAUCGACCUUUUAACUCCCCUGCGUGGGAUUGAUUUUAUAUGUGUAUUUGCACUACAUCCCCUUCCCAAGAUAUAUCCCGUUUAAUUUUGAUUGUGUAAUGAACGCUAUGACAUCUAGUGAAAUUUGUUUCGGGGGUACAAUUACUUAUUUAAAUGGCGCAAUACAUCCUUCAGAUCGCUAGGCCUACCCUUGGCACAAAAGGGUCACAUGCAUGUUUAGGACACGAUAUAUUUGUUUAAAUGUUUAUGUGUUAUGUUGCUUUGAUUGAGGAUAUCGUAAACCCACUCCUAGCCAAAAUCCUAAAGAGUAUACAGAAGCCAACAUUACAAUUGUCCGACCAAAAUUCCCGAGUCUCAAGUUUCUCACACAAAAUCCAUACCAUAAAUCCUAAAUACCGCUCUAUCAUCUCAGGAAAGUUGAAUCACCGCUAUGGACAAAGGCAAGAACGUCCAGACGGAGCUCACUGAGGAGGAAUUGCGAAGAAAGAUCGAGCGAGUCACUCGAGAGAUUCAGAGGGUUAAGGAGGAAGGACUCAAAGUAGACGCGACCACGGCGAUCUACAAAGCUGCGGUCACAACAUUGGAUGAAGAUCUGGCGUCACAGAUAAAGAGAAAGAAGGAGGUUGAGAUGGAAACCGAAAGCCUAAGGAAAAGGUUGAACUUGCUUCGUUUGGAGAUACACGAAGGAAAGGCGAGAGAGGCGAAGAUAGAUAUCGAGACUGCUGUGUUGUUGGACAGAAACGCGGCGCUCGACGAGGAAUUGGCGACCCAUAGCGACCCAAAGGGCGGAAAAUACCUCGCCCAUGAUCUGGGAGCAGAUAACAGUGGCCCCGACCGUGAAGUGACUGAGGAGGAUGAUGAAGAAGAAAUAGUCUACAAGCCUCCAUUUCCGACUGUCUGAAAGGAAAGGAAUGACGCAGCCACAAGACACGAAAUCUCCGAAUGUGGUCUUCUAGAAAUCUCAAUGUUGUUUUUCAAUUCCCUUGUAAUCACAACGAAAGAAUGAAUGGAAAAUUUUCAUCCUAAAAUCCGAACUACGUUGGGCCUGAAUUCUCCCCGUGAGAUACGUAGGCAGCCUUCCCGGCCCGGCCCCUAUCACAGAAAAUUUUCAUUCUCCUCCAUGUUUCGGAGAUACGAAGAUAAGAUCAACGGACGUCGCAAAGCAGCUGCAAGAAGACCAUAGCUCAACGUGAUUCAGAUUUCCCAAGAUAGCGCCAAACAAACAAAUUCCUGUUUGUUCAAAAUAUAUAUCCGUCCUUAUUCGUGGGUUAAGAUAUCCUCAAACAAAACGACUUGUGUGCUUAUCUGUUUUAUGUGCGAUAUUAUGCAUUUUGUACUCUGGAUAUGCACUAACAAAUUUGCCUUUGAGUUGUUUUUACCUCUCAGGUACCUUUUUACUGAUCUGUGUCAAUAAAGCUAGCAGAUCAUCCUUACUUCACCAGAUCGAAAGGUCCUACAGAUUCCUUCCCUCGAUCAAAUUCAGACAAAGGAAAAACAGUUAUGGGAGACAACAAUGACGAAGGGCAUCUUACUGACGUUGUGGUGGCUCAGCCCACUGUAGUGGAACAGAACGAAUUGAUCAUGCAGCUGAUGCAACAGAUUGCUGAAAUGAAAGUUGAAAUGCAACGGAGACAGGAUGCGCCUCCACCUGGAUUUGGUACUAAUAUUGCUGAUGCAAGACCUCCGGUCUACUUCCCUUCAUCAAACAUAGAUCCAACUCAGAACCAGCCUUCUACACCUGUGCAUAAUCCGUCUGUGAUUGACCUCACAACCCAAAACCCUCAAUACGCUUCUGCAUCUUACCAAACUCCUUCACCUCUUCCAAAUAACCACCCUCAAAUACCACCCCAUCCUCAGAAUACUCAAACUGCCCCACUGCCACAAAAUCAAAACCAAACUCAAACUGCCUUCAAUACCCAAGCAUUUCAUCCGCAUUUGAGUCAGAACACCAAUCCUCAGGCCUACCCACAAAACUACCAGACCGCCCAAAACAUUCCAAGUCCCUCUAUAGCUCCGCCCCUACCAAAAAGAGCCACCUUCCAAGUUCCCGUUCCUGCCGAGCACGAGGUGCACGGUUCUGAGUUGGAUCACUAUGAAGAACAGGAAAGAGAAUGGAAGGCGAAAGAAGAAGUGAAGAUCGAUAUAAAGGAAGAAAUCAAAAGGGCUAUGAAAGAGCUGCAGUGCAUCCCAGACGCCGUCGGACUUAGCUACGCAGAAUUGUGCAUCCAUCCAGAUUUGAACCUUCCCGAAGGUUUUAAAAUUCCGAAGUUUGACACCUUCGGAGGAGUGGGCAAUCCUAUGGCGCAUUUGAGAGCGUAUUGUGACCAGCUCGUGGGAGUUGGCAGGGAUGAGGCCUUGUUGAUGCGGCUUUUCAGCCGAAGUCUGUGUGGAGAGGCCCUCGAGUGGUUUACUUCACAUGAAACCAGGCAGUGGCCCAGUUGGAAUGCAUUGGCUAAGGACUUCAUUGACCGAUUCGCCUACAAUGUUGAAAUAGUGCCCGAUCGGUAUUCUCUAGAGAAGAUGAAGCAGAAACCAACUGAAAGCUAUAGGGAAUUUGCCUAUAGGUGGAGGAAAGAAGCGGCGAGGGUAAGGCCACCCAUGACCGAGAAAGAGAUUGUGGAAGUGUUCGUGCGGGUACAGGAGCCUGAGUACUAUGAUCGAAUCAUGUUGCUGGUCGGAGCUAAAUUCGCUGAGAUAGUCAAAGUCGGUGAGACUAUCGAAGAUGGUCUAAAAUCGGGGAAGAUAGCCCGUGUAUCUGCGUCGCCUGGGUCUUCAGGAUUGAUAAGAAAGCGAAGAGAGGAAGUUGCCGCUGUCUCGUAUGGGGGAAGAAAAACCCCUAGAAACCCGUCACAUUCCCAAGAUCGUUCCAGGCCUUCCCCAAAGUCCCACCGAUCCAACUACCCACAACCCAAUCAUCCUAAUAACCACAAUACUGUCCCCACCUAUCAGAAUGCUCAAAUUUCGUCGUACCAAAGUACACCCUCUAAUCUCCAAAAUUUUUCUCCCAUAUACCCAAAUUACCCUCAACCAUACCAGAUCCCAUCCCCUUAUCAGAAUAUUGCUCCCAACUGUGCCAACGUACAGUCGAGCUACCGACCACCUCCGCCCACUUAUCAAGUCCAAGCUCCAUUAUACCAGGACCCCCUCCCGAAUUACCAAGCUCCAAUGCCAAAUUUCCAGGCAAACCCUUAUCCCGGAGCCAAGCUCCUCGUACAAAUACCCAAAUUAUCAGCGGGUGCCUCCCCCUCGGCAAAGCGGUUAUGAUACUUCCCGUCCGAGAUUUGAAAAAAGGCCUUCAAGGAACUUUACCACACUUGCUGAAAGCUGGACCAAACUAUUUGAGAGGCUAGCCGCAGAUGGAUACAUCCACCCUGUGGGGCCCAAACCCGGGGAUGUCAACUCAAAGUUCUACAGGCCAGAUCAAAGGUGUGCUUAUCAUUCCAACAGUGUUGGACAUGACACGGAAGAUUGCAUCAACCUUAAGCACAAAAUCCAAGACCUGAUCGAUCAGGAGGUAGUUUCUCUUCAACCGGCAGUGCCAAACGUCAACACAAAUCCGUUGCCGAAUCAUGGAGGUGACAACCUUAAUAUGAUUGAAACGGAUGAAGACGGGUGUGGAACAAAGAUGAUUACCCCUAUUAUGCAUGAGGACUUGGAAAGGGCUGUCGCUUCUUUAAGCGUCAAAGAAAGGAGGAAGUUUGUUAUUCUGACACCUGCAAAGGCUGUUGCCUUGGUGCCUUCGAAAACCCUCGUUAAGCCCAAAUUUGUCAUUGAAACUGCCGUGGCCCAAGGCAUGACCAGGUCCGGAAGGUGCUACACUCCUGAUGAGCUUGCUCUCGGAGGACAGAAGAAGGACCAUGCUAAGAGGCCGAUAAGCGAGGGGGAAGCAGAAGAAUUCUGGAGAAGGAUGCAACCGAAGGACUAUUCCAUCGUCAAACAUUUAGAGAAGACUCCGGCUCAGAUCUCCGUGUGGGCCCUGCUGAUGAGCUCUCAGUCCCACAGGCAGGCCUUAAUGAAAGCUCUUGAUGAUACAUACGUACCCUCAGGUACAAGUAGUGAUAACGUGGCCGCUAUGAUUCAUCAAGUCAUUCGGGGGCACCGGAUCAGCUUUUGUGACGAUGAGUUGCCAGUCGAAGGAAGAUCCCACAACAAAGCGCUACACAUUACCGUGAUAUGUCGUGGAAAGGUUGUCAACUGUGUUUUGGUAGAUGAUGGGUCCGGUUUGAAUAUUUGCCCAUUGACGACGUUGAGGCAACUAAAUUUUGACCUUGGGAAACUGGAGCAGAAUCAGGUCAAUGUAAGGGCAUUUGAUGGUGUGCAAAGAGACACCUUGGGGGCUGUGACUUUGACCCUUCAAAUGGGCCCCGCAGAGUUCAGUGCGCAAUUCCAAGUAUUGGACAUAGACACUAGCUACAACCUUCUUUUGGGAAGGCCGUUUAUCCACAUGGCUGGAGCCGUCCCCUCUACUCUCCAUCAGAUGAUGAAACUUGUGUGGAAAAAUGAAGAGUUAGUGAUUCACGGCGAGGGAAGUCGCUCGGGCAAGCAGGUGUCGGUCAUUGAUGAGAUGCCGCAAGGCGCAGACUUUUACACGGUGGAGCUGGUGAAUGCCACCAACGAAGAUUUGGCCCUCAACUCCAUGCCAACCGUGUACAAAAUGAUAGCCACGGUGAUGCUGCAAAAUGGGUUCGAGCCAGGUUUCGGAUUGGGAAGAGAUUCCCAAGGAAUUAUUGAGCCUGUUCCGGUCCUUGCUCAGGGGUCAAAGUAUGGUUUGGGGUACAUCCCCACAGAUGAUGAUAUGAAGAUGAAGAGGAGGAGGGAUCAAGAGUUGACUAAGCCGAUCCCGCAUCUCUAUCACUCCUUUCCAGUUCGGGAGCACGCCGAGCCUGAAGACGACGGGGAAGGAAUCUGUGACCUGUUCAAGGAGAUCAAUGCCGUCAUAGAGGAGGAGGCUGAGCCAGCUGGCUUUCGCGAUGCUGAACCGGGGGAGAUGCUGAAGAAUUGGACGUCCACACCAAUCCUGAUGUCCCGGACUUUUGGGUAGAAAGGAAUUAUUUUGUGCAUGCCAAAAUCGGUGGUCGUUCGGAAGAGGCCCGAGACCCACCAUUUCUGCAUUUUCUUGAUUUUGAAUUUUGUUAUGAUUGUUUAAAGGGCGACGUGGCCUUGUGCCAUGACCCAACUUUGCAUCUUGAUUCAAUUUAAAUGAAAGCCUCCUUAUUUUGACUUUGUUUAUUCGAUUGCUUGUUAUAUUUUACUUUUCUAAUUUUGUCUGUUUAUGAUUUCAGUAACGUAAGUUACAAACCUGCCAACGUCAUGUCAUGUCAUGAGCUAAACGAACAAAAUGAGGUAAAUGACGAUGAGGCUGACGACUACGACGAAGAAAGUGGGGAACCAGACUAUGUAGUAGAAGAGUUUCGACAGUUCGAGAAUCAACAUAAACCGAAUCUGGAGGAAACAGAGACGGUAAAUUUGGGAGAUUCAGAAUGUGUCAAAGAGGUUAAGAUCAGCACUCACCUGAAUGAAACUCAGAAGGAGAGCCUGAUUCAUUUGCUUGCCGAAUACAGCGAUGUGUUUGUUUGGGAGGUCAGUGACAUGCAGGGGCUGAGUACCGAUGUCGUAUCUCAUAAGCUGCCUAUCAACCCAGGGUUCGAGCCAGUGAAGCAAAAGACUCGGAAAUUCAAGCCUGAGUUGAGUUUGAAGAUUAAGGAGGAAAUCACCAAGCAGAUAGAGUCCCGGUUGGUAGAAGUAACGCAAUAUCCCACCUGGUUGGCGAAUGUCGUUCCGGUCGCCAAGAAAGAUGGAAAAAUCAGGAUUUGCGUUGAUUACAGAGAUCUCAACAAGGCUAGUCCAAAGGAUAAUUUCCCGUUGCCAAAUAUCCAUAUUCUGAUUGAUAACUGUGCCAAACAUGAGAUGCAGUCAUUUGUGGAUUGUUACGCGGGUUAUCACCAGAUUCUGAUGGAUGGAGAAGACGCGGAGAAAACGGCCUUCAUCACACCUUGGGGGUAUAUCACUACAGGGUGAUGCCGUUUGGGCUCAAAAACGCCGGUGCCACUUACAUGAGAGCCAUGACGACUAUCUUCCACGACAUGAUUCACAAGGAAAUUGAAGUGUACGUGGACGACGUCAUAAUUAAAUCCCGCGAGAGUUCGGAUCAUUUGACACACCUGCGAAAAUUCUUUGAACGUUUGCGUAGGUACAACUUGAAGCUAAAUCCCGCCAAGUGUGCUUUUGGAGUCCCAGCUGGGAAAUUGUUAGGGUUUAUAGUCAGCAGAAGAGGUAUUGAGCUCGACCCUUCCAAGAUCAAAGCAAUUCAGGAGUUACCUCCGCCGAAGACGAGAAAAGAGGUGAUGAGCUUCUUAGGGAGGUUAAACUAUAUCAGCCGGUUUAUAGCACAAUCGACGGUGGUAUGUGAGCCUAUCUUCAAGUUGCUGAAGAAAGAUGCCCCAACUAAGUGGACUGAGGAGUGCCAGACCGCUUUCGACGCUAUCAAGAGCUACUUGUCUAACCCACCAGUAUUGGUUCCUCCGCGAGAAGGGAGUCCUUUGUUGCUAUAUUUGUCUGUCUCGGAUAACGCCUUUGGAUGUGUACUUGGUCAACACGACGAGACAGGGAAGAAGGAAAAGGCUAUCUACUACAUCAGCAAGAAGUUUACUCCGUACGAGUCUCGUUACACUUUGCUGGAAAGAACAUGCUGUGCUCUGACAUGGCUUGCCCAGAAGCUGAGGCACUAUUUGUCUUCGUAUACUACAUAUCUUAUCUCCAGGAUGGAUCCAUUGAAGUAUAUUUUCCAGAAAGCGAUGCCGACCGGGAAGCUGGCUAAAUGGCAAAUGCUGUUGAGUGAGUUUGACAUCGUGUACGUGACUCAGAAGGCAAUAAAAGCACAAGCUUUGGCUGAUCAUCUUGCGGAAAAUCCCGUUGAUGAAGAGUAUGAACCUCUCAAGACAUAUUUUCACGAUGAAGAAGUGUCAUUUGUGGGUGAAGAUAUCUCUGAAGUUUAUCCAGGUUGGAGAUUAUUCUUUGAUGGAGCGGUGAAUCACCAGGGUAAAGGUGUUGGAGCAGUCUUGGUAUCAGAAUCUGGUCAGCACUAUCCUAUGGCGGCUAAGCUACGGUUCAACUGCACAAACAACAUGGCUGAGUAUGAAGCUUGCAUUCUCGGUUUGAAAAUGGCCGUUGACAUGAAUGUUUACGAGUUACUGGUUAUUGGAGAUUCAGACCUCUUGAUCCAUCAGGUUCAAGGAGAAUGGGCUGUGAAGAACCCAAAGAUUGUACCUUAUGUACAAUAUGUGCAAAACCUGUGUAAAAGGUUUCGCAAGAUCGAGUUCAGACAUACUCCCCGAAUACAGAAUGAAUUAGCUGAUGCUCUUGCCACCAUCGCUUCAAUGAUCAAACAUCCAGAUAUUGAUUACAUCGACCCGCUGGAUAUAGAUUUGAAGGAGCAUCCAGUCCAUUGUUCACACGUGGAAUCAGAACCAGAUGGUUUGCCUUGGUAUUUCGACAUAAAGAGGUAUUUGGAGUCUGGGACAUAUCCAGAAGACGCCACAUCUAAUCAAAAGAAGUCGAUACGUCGUAUGGCUCUCAAUUUCUUUUUGAAUGGAGAAGUCCUUUACAGGAGGACUCCAGAUUUGGGUCUUUUGAGAUGCGUGGAUGCUGCUGAAGCCGUGAGGCUUAUUGAACAGAUACAUGCUGGAGUCUGUGGCACACAUAUGAACGGGCUUACCUUGGCAAGAAAAGUCCUUCGAGCCGGUUACUUCUGGAUGACUAUGGAGAACGACUGUUGCAAAUUCAUGCAAAAAUGCCAUAAAUGUCAAGUGCACGGAGAUUUGAUAAGGGUGCCACCUCACGAACUCAAUGCUAUGAGUUCACCUUGGCCAUUUGUAGCUUGGGGAAUGGAUGUCAUCGGUCCUAUAGAACCGGCCGCUUCCAAUGGACACAGAUUUAUUUUGGUUGCCAUCGAUUAUUUCACCAAAUGGGUGGAAGCAGCCUCUUACAAAUCGGUAACCAAGAAAGUGGUGGCCGACUUUGUCCGCAACAAUUUGAUCUGCCGAUUUGGAGUUCCAGAAUCCAUCAUCACUGAUAACGGUGCAAAUCUCAACAGUCAUCUGAUGAAAGAGAUAUGUGAACAAUUUAAGAUUAUCCACCGAAGGUCAACUGCUUAUCGCCCUCAAAUGAACGGAGCUGUAGAGGCCGCCAACAAGAACAUCAAGAAGAUUCUGAGGAAAAUGAUUGACAAGCAGCGGGGUUGGCAUGAAAUGUUGCCAUAUGCUCUACUGGGUUAUCGAACGACGGUCAGAACAUCAACUGGGGCUACUCCAUACUUGCUAGUAUACGGAACAGAAGCAGUCGUACCUGUCGAAGUCGAGAUACCGUCACUGAGGAUCAUCCAAGAAGCUGAGCUAAGUAAUGCUGAGUGGGUUAGCAAACGGAUUGAUCAACUAGCCUUGAUUGAUGAAAAGAGGAUGGUUGCUGUUUGUCAUGGCCAGUUGUAUAGACAAAGAAUGACUCGCGCUUUUCACAAAAGAGUAAGAGCCAGAAAUUUUGAAGUUGGUCAGUUGGUUCUUAAGCGUAUUUUUCCUCAUCAAGACGAGUACAAAGGAAAGUUCGCACCAAACUGGCAAGGUCCUUACAUGGUCCGCAAAGUACUAUCUGGAGGUGCUUUAGUCUUGUCAGAGAUGGAUGGCGCUGUGUGGCCCAAACCUAUCAACUCAGAUGCUGUCAAGAGAUAUUACGCGUGAAGUUCGUUUUGCAUUUCCCAUCAUUUACUUGUAAUCUUCUGUUUGCUUGUAUUUGUUCGAACUUGAAUUCUUAUCCCUCUUGUAACGAACUACGUCUGACCUGAAUUCUCGAGAAUGAGAUACGUAGGCGGCCUAUGUCGGCUUCGGUCACCCCAUUUACCCCCUUUACUAUUUCUUUGUACCUGAACUACGUUCGACCUGAAUUCUCAAGAAUGAGAUACGUAGGCGGCCUUUGUCGGCUUCGGUCGGUUUCUUUGUAAAUUUUAUUCUUGUUAACCUUUAAGGGGAACUACGUUUGACCUGAUUCCUGCCUCAACGGGAUACGUAGGCGCCACAAGGGCUCGGUCAUACCUCUCGUAAGAUUUCUAUUUCCCCCUUCUACAAUAGAAACUGGGACAAAAUUUUUGAGAGGGACUCAAAAAUUCUCCAAAAGGAACCUUCUCCUCAGCGGAUCAAACUAAAGACAUUUCGAGUUUGCGACUGGGACAGAAUUUUUGAGAAGAUCUCAAAAAUUCCGAGAUUUGUUCGGUUACAAUGGAAAGAUGAACAAGAUACUAAACUGGGACAGAAAUUUUGAGGAUGGCCUCAAAAUUUCGUCAUGGGACUUCCCCACAAGUCCGGAAUGCCUCUGAAAUUCAUUCGACAAGCGUCGGACUCAAAGAAGCUCGUUAAGCCUGACAUGACAUGACUUGGCAUUGACUUUUUCGAGAUACUAUUUCUUAAAAAAUUUCUUGCUUCUCUUAAAAAUUUCCCUUUUAUAUUUCAUCUGUUUUGGCAUAAGAUAUUUUCUUAUCUAUCAAGAGUCGGGAAAUCGAGAAAUCAACCGAGGACGUCAAGACAAGGAGCAAACAAUCGAAGGGAUCGACACAGAUCAGUAUGUUUAAAACUGACAAUUUUUCUGUGGAUGCAGGUUUAUAGCUUCACUUCGAAAUCGGCCGAAUUCUUCCGACUGAUGAAUACGGAGAAGGAGAAAACUAUCUCCAAAGCCGGUGAUUUUAUUGAAAGCAAGAAGCAUUUCAUAUCUUUAUGCCAAGAUGCUUGUGAAUGUGUUUGUUUAUUUCAAGCCAUUCCCCAAUACAUGAAAUUUACAAAGUGCCUGGCCUGAUUCAAAGGUAGAUCAAAAGGAAUCUUAGCGAAGAUUUCACGAUUUCUAUAGAAGACGCUAUUUGCAUCGCGUUAUCAAAGCAAGAUGAUUAUUGUCGAUCAAGACAAUGCAUUACCUCAGAAGAGACAGCUAUGCAAUUAUUAUUUUUAUCAUUAUCGAUCAAGUCGAUAUAUUAUUUGGAGGUCGUCUUGCCGUUACUAUUCACGGGGGUAAUAUAAAUAAUUAUGUACGACGAGAAGAUUUCAUGCCUCGUCGGAAUUUAUACAUCGCGAGAAGAAUUUAUGCCUCGCUGGAAUUCAUGCAUCGCGGAAUCAUGCAUCGCGGAAAUCAUGCAUCGCGAGUCAAUAAUCAUGCAUGACGAGAAGAUUUCAUGCCUCGUCGAAAUUUAUACAUCGCGAGAAGAAUUUAUGCCUCGCUGGAAUUCAUGCAUCGCGGAAUCAUGCAUCGCGGAAUCAUGCAUCGCGGAAAUCAUGCAUCGCGAGUCAAUGAUCAUGCAUGACGAGAAGAUUUCAUGCCUCGUCGAAAUUUAUACAUCGCGAGAAGAAUUUAUGCCUCGCUGGAAUUCAUGCAUCGCGGAAUCAUGCAACACGGAAAUCAUGCAUCGCGAGUCAAUAAUCAUGCAUGACGAGAAGAUUUCAUGCCUCGUCGAAAUUUAUACAUCGCGAGAAGAAUUUAUGCCUCGCUGGAAUUCAUGCAUCGCGGAAUCAUGCAUCGCGGAAAUCAUGCAUCGCGAGUCAAUGAUCAUGCAUGACGAGAAGAUUUCAUGCCUCGUCGAAAUUUAUACAUCGCGAGAAGAAUUUAUGCCUCGCUGGAAUUCAUGCAUCGCGGAAUCAUGCAUCGCGGAAAUCAUGCAUCGCGAGUCAAUAAUCAUGCAUGAUGAGAAGAUUUCAUGCCUCGUCAAAAUUUAUACAUCGCGAGAAGAAUUUAUGCCUCGCUGGAAUUCAUGCAUCGCGGAAUCAUGCAUCGCGGAAAUCAUGCAUCGCGAGUCAAUAAUCAUGCAUGACGAGAAGAUUUCAUGCCUCGUCGAAAUUUAUACAUCGCGAGAAGAAUUUAUGCCUCGCUGGAAUUCAUGCAUCGCGGAAUCAUGCAUCGCGGAAAUCAUGCAUCGCGAGUCAAUGAUCAUGCAUGACGAGAAGAUUUCAUGCCUCGUCGAAAUUUAUACAUCGCGAGAAGAAUUUAUGCCUCGCUGGAAUUCAUGCAUCGCGGGAUCAUGCAUCGCGGAAAUCAUGCAUCGCGAGUCAAUAAUCAUGCAUGACGAGAAGAUUUCAUGCCUCGUCGAAAUUUAUACAUCGCGAGAAGAAUUUAUGCCUCACUGGAAUCAUGCAUCGCGAAAAUCAUGCAUCGCGAGUCAAUAAUCAUGCAUGACGAGAAGAUUUCAUGCCUCGUCGAAAUUUAUACAUCGCGAGAAGAAUUUAUGCCUCGCUGGAAUUCAUGCAUCGCGGAAUCAUGCAUCGCGGAAAUCAUGCAUCGCGAGUCAAUAAUUAUGCACGACGAGAAGAUUUCAUGCCUCGUCAAAAUUUAUGCACGACGAGAAGAAUUCAUGCCUCGUCAAAAUUUGCACAUCGCAAGAAGAUUUUAUUCUUCGCUGAAAGUUAUGCAUCGCGAGAAGAUUCAUAUCUCGCGGGAAUUUACGUAUCGCGGGAAGAUAUUCAUGGCCCGCAAGAGGACGUACUUGGAUAAAGAAAGAGCAAUACUCAUCCAUUGGCCUCGACUGCAUUCUGUCAUUUCUUAUAAAAAUAAACAUCAUGGAGAGCAUCGAAGAUGACAACAAAAGAAGCAUCAAUGUCGCAUCAGCAUUUAUUUAUUUAUUUCAACAUCAAGUAUGGAAUACAUUGAAGAUGAUAUUGCAAAAUACAAGGCAUAAGCUUUAUUUGCUGGACGUCAGACCGAUCGAGUCGACGUCGAACAUGGAAGAGAACAAUGAAGUGUCGACAUGGUAAAAGACACUGUCUCCCAUCCUAAUUGCAUUUUAAGCUGACGAGUUUUAUCUCAGUCUUUGUCGAGAGCAUCCAAAAGGAUGAAUUCUCCAAAAAUCACAGGUGCGGACGACAUCAAAAAGGAUGCAGCACAACGUGGAACUUUUUCUUAGCAGCGAACUGGGACAUAGUCCAAAGAGGAAUGUAAAACUCUUAGGACGCGAGCAGAGGAGCGACUUCCACUACAAUCGAACCACCCUCUCGAGGCUUACGGGUUUUCUCUAGUUCUGUCAGUUUCUGUCUCGCUUUCGAAAGUUUUGUUUUACCGGAAGCAAGUUUCCAAUCUGAGUGACAAUACGCCAAAAGAGUUGGAAAUUAUGUCCGUGUAAGUUCUUAAUUAUGGGUGUGAAGCGCGCCACAUUCAUGGCUAAGAGGUUACAAGCCUCUUUUUUUCAUACUCGUUUAAUGUGUCACUCGUCCAAAACCGAAGGUUAGCUAGCAUAAUAGUUUUCCUUUUCCAACGAUCGAGUCGAACUACACACAGCCUGAUUCCGAAGGUUUAAGGGUAUGUAGGCGGAUUCAAUGUUGAAAACUCGGCUGUAUUCCAACAUUCGCUCUCGAAUUCUAUUCUCGAGCAUUUCGAUACCUUCAUAAUUCGGUGUCGAGGUGGCUUUUGAUUCUUUGAAAUCGUGCGGUAAAUCAAGCUUAUCGAACUACAAGUGGCCUGAAUUCUCAUAUAGCUUGAGAUAUGUAGGAGACCCGUUUGCAAGGGUUCGGCCAUGAUUCCUAAACUCUUUGUCAAAUCCUUCUUCUUAAAAGCGAAUGGAGGUCGGUCAAAAUUGGUUUGGUCAAUUUCAUUUUCCUCGAGUUGCUUGCAUCAACCAAAGUAAAAUGAGGGACAGUUGUUGACACCCAAUUUUGACCCACGUCGGUAGAAAUUAAUUAUCGAGCUUCCUAAAUUUUCCAAAUAAUUCAGAUUAAUUAGUUUUAUAAUUUUGCAAAAAAUAUAACGAUUUAACGUUUACAUAGUGGUGUAUAUAGCCGGUAUAUCUUGUGUAUAUUCUAAACCAACCCAACUUCCCCCCAUCAGCCCACACCCCUCCUCUUCCAAGCCAGGCCCAAGUUCCCUUCAGGCCCAAACGUUCCCAAUUCUCCCACUUCUCUUCCUAAAAUCGGCCCAACACCCAAAAUUCCCCUCAACCCAACCCAAUUCAAACCCAACAUUCCCCUCAACCCAACCCAAUUCAAACCCAACCACCCAAAAACCACCCAAAAACCCGACCCAACACCUGACCCAACCCCAAUAACCCGUUUUUCCCCCCCUUUCUUCUUCAGCCCCAUUCAAUCAACAGAAACCCAGAACAACAAACGAAACCCGGAAAACCCCCGCGUCUUCCCCACGCUCUCUCGCUCUCUCCCUCAUCUCCCCACGCUCUCGUCUCCCUCACGCGUCUCUUCCCCUACGCAACACAGCCAAUAAUUCCCAGAAAGAAACGCGACAAACUCCCCUGAAAUCGCGCGAUUCUCAGAUCGAAAAUCCCCAGAAAACAGACGCGACCUCUCCUCAUCGCGUCUCUCCCUCACGUCCUCUCUCCUCUCCUUCCCUCUCUCCCGCGUCUCCCCCACGCUCGCUCUCUCCUUCCCCUCUCGACAGAGACCCAUACCCUGCCGCUGUCGAGCAGGUCUGCAACACGCAAGUCGUCGCUGUCGAGUAGGUCUGCGAGGUGUCAAUUUCAUCCUCUCCAACACGCCUGGCCAUGUGGGUUUUGACCCAAAGGGAUUUCGAUUUUGAGUUCAAAAAAUGGGCGAAAAAUCGUAUCACCGACCCUACAUAAACCCCUCCCAUCUUCAUAAAAGAGGAGGGUUUUUUUUCACGAAAGAGGGGGAUUUUUUCAUCGAAAUUCGAAAAAAGUAGAACUUGGGUUGGACAUUUGGUCAAAAUUAAGGCUGAAUCUUUGGUCGAAACUUUUGGAAGCAAUUUGAGGUUGGAGAUUUCUGGACGAGAAGAAACUGUUUCAUCGAGUGUCGUUGCGACGUUCUUGUUCGAGCGAGCGAAGCAGAGGGUGAUUUCGAGUUCGUGAUAGUGGUGCUCCGCCUGCUCGCUGUCCCUGUUUCGCUGCACUUAAAGAGGUAACACCCAUCUUGACCCUCGACUCUUAGUUGUAUUUGCUGUUUGUACGUUAGUGUUUAGGUUGGUCCUAGCUGCUGUGAAUUUGUUGUAUUGCAGAAGUUGUUUGAAAUUUGUGGUUUUGUCUUGUCUUCGCUUGAUUUUGUCGCAACUUCCUGAAUUUGAUAAAGUUUUAAAGGGAACGAACGGUGUGUUUGGGGUAUUUCGAUCCGCCGAGUCUGUUUCUGCUCGUUUCCUGCUUCUUCCUCCUGUUUGUAUUCGUACAUGAAUUAGUCUAAGGGAAUCCUUCGUUAUUCUGCUUAUAAUGAGUUGUAGAUGUUACCCGUUUGGUCGAAGUGAAAUCCAAUUUCACUUCAAACUCUUCUGUCAUCAUCUUUAUUGUUAUUUCUUCUUUUGUUUUUCUUUCACUUUGAUGUCAAAAUGAUGUGAUGAUGGGUUCGACAGAAGCGAAGUAGUGCAUUGAAUGAUAAUAGUGAUGUCUUAUUUUGGAGUUUUGUCCUUUUUCUUUGUUGUUAGUUCGACAAGUCAAAUUUUAAAUUCAAAGAUUGCCAUAUACAUGCCUUGUUCUGUGAAAUUGAAAGUUCAUUGUUUGGUUGGGUAAGUAAAAUCGCCUCAAUAUAGUUAUUUACCUUGGGUCGACUCGCAUUUGUCAUUACUUUUCUCUUCUGUCGUCUCUUUCAUGUUGCGCUAGUCUGACCUUUCUUGUUACAUGUUGUCGUGUGUCUAUUGAUCCGAUUAGAUACUAUCCAUGGAUAUGCAUUUUCUAUUAAGUUAGUUUGUUUUCUUGUAUAUGUGCCCGUUGAAUCGAAUAUUAAUUCCUUUUGUUUAUUGUGUGGCAUGUAAAAUCCGUUUGAGUUCACCACGAACUCUCCUUCUCCGUAUCUCGAGAGAGUCGUAAAGACUCAUAGUCUUUUACCAAGCAAGACAACCUUAAGAGAGGCGUACAAGUCAUGAAGUUGGAAGGAGAAUCCAAAGUGGAUUAGAAGACGUUUCUUUAUUUUAUUUCCGUAUUUUAUUUUGUAAUGGGCAUAAGCCCUUGUCAUUUUCCUUUCCUUAUUCCUCUUAUAUUUUAUCUUGUAAUGUUUAGACUAGGACAGGUGGCAAAAUGGGUCGAAACACCCAAAAACAGGUGGGUCCAAAACUCGGUCAAGGUGAACAGUACCCGAGUUUGGACCCAAAAAUCUCUCUCUCUCUCUCUCUCCUUAUUACUUGCUUAUGUGCGUUGUUUAAAGUAUCGUUAGUGUUAGGACUAGAAAAAUCCAAAUCUCCUUCGAAACGCCUUUCUAUUUUAUCAAGCUAAAACUAAGUCUUAAAAUAUUGGACGUUUCAAAUUCACUAGUUCGUUUAGAGUUUAAAAUUUAAAAAGUUUAACUUUAAAAGAAUCUCAAAAACAAUAAGUAUUUCAACUUUUAGAUUUGUCCAAAUAAAACUCUAAUAAAGGUUCAACUUCAAAUUCGCAAAAGGUUAAAAAGUAGUCAAAUAAGUUAAUCGUCGGAAAACCGUAUUUAACGGAGUGUCUUAGGUGCCUUACACCUUCCUAAGACACUAAUAAGAAUCCCGAACCCUUAAAAAAUGUUUCAAAACAAUUGUUCUGUUUAGGUUGUUUAGAAACAAAGUUUUCUUGAUUUUUCUUAAAAAUUAAGUGGCGACUCCUAAAAGUCGAAAAACAAACUCUUUUCGAAAAUCACCCCCUUUUUUCGGUAAAACAAUUACACCAAGAACAACAAUAAUUCAGUGUAAUUUCACGUACCGACCUAAACCCUAAUAGUGUGUAAAGUUAGAUCCUUUGUUUGGAAUAUUCUAGGAACAAAAAAAAGCAUUUAAAAAAAUAAAUAAACAAGAAGAAUCCAACUCUAAAGCAAUGACUUUUCAAUACCCUUUGAGGGUGUCUAAUUUUUUUUCUAUAAAUAAGUGAAAUACUCAUCAUAAUUUUUAACACAACAAAAAAAAACACACAUUUUUUUUUUAAUUAGCUCUUUGAUGGCUGGUCUUCAAUACAAAUUUUUUCCAACAGAUUUUUUCUUCCCAAUUCAAAAAACAGUUAGUGGAGAAAACACAUCAAAGCAAAAUCUCUUAAUCAAGAUUAGAAAUAAUGAUGAGUCCUUAAUUGAGGAAUCAAAGGGCAAAAUUGUCAUUAACAACAACAAGAAGAAUCUCAAAGCUAUUUCUUCAUCUUCAUUAGCUUUGAUUUCUGUGCCAAAACAGAAGAAAGAUCAAGAUUAAUCAACUGAUUAUUCUUUUAAUCAUAUAGUAAUUAAUUGUAUGAUUAAGAAUAAUCUUGUUCUCUUUGCUAUCUUUUCUCCUAUUUUUUUUUCUUUGAGUUUAAUAAAUAUUUAGGAGGCUUUUGGGAAAAGUUAUUAGAUUUUGUUUGAUGUAUUAUAUAAGUUUGCAAUUCAAUAAGACAGGAACAAUAGUUUCUAUGAUCAUAUCUAUUUUUUCAUGGCUUGUCAAUUUAUUUAUUUAUUUAUUUGCUAUUUUUUGGUAGAAUUAUUGGAGUUUUACUCAUUUGAAUGAUGUGAAAAUAUUACUAAAAAGAAAAUGGAAGUAGCAUGAAUGAUGAAUAAAGUAGAUAUCUAUAUCCAAGAAUUCUGAUGAUUUCUCACAUAUUUCUCAAUAGUUCGAGAUUGAUUUAUAGUGUAAAUAUUGAUCGUUAUAUCGGUCAAAUUAUAGAUAUAAUAAUAUCGGUCAAAUUAUAGAUAUAAUAAUAUCGUGAAAAUGCUGCACGAACUUAUUUUAUCCAAAUUACUUAUUUUUUCUACAUUCAUAUAUUCUACUAUCUUAUUUAUAAAUCGAUUGGUUCAACUAUAGUAGUUGAAAUUACUUCUGUUCAUCAAACUUUUUAUUUACCUAUGUAUUGUUGUGGUUAGCAAAUCGUUUUGUAUUUGUUAAGAAGUCCUAAUAGGCGAAUUUUACGUAUUCAAAGUAAAGUAGAGUAAAAAAAAAAAACCCCAAUUUUAAACUCUUAUUAAAAAUAAAAAUAAUUGUUUAAACUAGAAAUUAACAAAAUUGCUCAAUUUCGAUGGUCUUGAGUCAAAUUUGACUAUUAUUUUCUAAUUUAAUUUAACAUGUUUUUGGUCAAUUAUGGUGGCUUUGCAACCACAAUAAUAUUUUUCAAAAUAAAUAAAAUAUAUAUAGAGAGAGAGUCAUGCACACAUGUCGUAUAUUUUGAAAUUAGUUUGUCAUAUUUCAUGAGAAUUAGUUUGAUUAUAUUUUAAAAUUAAAUUAAAUUUAUUUAAUAUAUGUCAAUAAGGUGAUAAAAAUUAUAUCUUAAAACAUGGUAAGAAGGUUUGCUUAUAUUAUAUCGUUAAUUGACUUUUAAGGCUUUAGUAGAUUAUUUUUAUUUUACAUGUUCUGUAAUUAAUCAUAAAUAAAAAUGAUGAUGAAAAGGAAUUGUUCAUAUAGUAAAGAUUAUUCAUUUUCAAAGUCCUAAUUAAAAAUUAUAAAUUUGAAUUAUCAAAAAAAAAGCUCGAAAGGGGAAAAAAGUAGUGGAUUUAAUUGAUUUCCACAUGCUCUUUUAUUGUCCUUUGAAGACUUCAACAACCAAUUUUACUUGAAACUAACUUCUCAUUAUUAAUUAUUAUUAUUAUUAUGCACCUUUUGUAUUGUCUACUUUAAUAUUUUUAGUACUCGCGUUUAGCAUAUGCCUCAUCAAGGAGCUUUAACAAUCUUUUGGUAUUAGACUAUUAUUAAUAUUUUAUCCGUAAGAUCGAUAAAUAUAUCUAAUCAAUUUAGUCUAACUAAAUAGUUUUUUGUUUAAGCUUAGUAUGUGCGUUGGAAGAUUAUUAAUAAUGUAAAAAGAUUAAUUUAUCAAGAUUCUGAAAUAGUUGUUCAAAAAUUUUAAACCCGUAAAAUUUGAGUUUCAACUCCAUUUAUGUAGGAACAAAUAUUAGAUUCGAACUUCACAUUUUGUAGAAGGAUAAUAUAUUUGAACAAUUUUUUAAAGGAGGGACAAAUUCUAAAUGAUUUUUUUUUUAAAAAAAAAGUGUAAAUCAACCAAAUGAUAAAGAAAAAAAUUAAAAUUUGAUCUUAUGGAGUAUGAAGAUGGAUUAUAUAUAUAUUUUUUUCGUUGAUAAAUUUCUAAUUUAAAUACUUUUGAAAAUAAAUAAAUAAAUAAAUAGACAUAUAAAAAUGUAAUAUUAGCUAAGCCUUGACAUGGCCCAACUAAUUCAUUGGACUUAAUUCUUGGCCCAGUUCCUAACUAGCUCAUUGGUCUUGGGCCUCCUGGCCCAUAACUAAUCAUCAAAGCCCAUCUAAAGAAACAAUCAAUAUAUUGUCUUUUUCUCAUGACUUUCACCUUUUUUUCGGUUUAUCGGAAAUAAUCUUCCUAUCGCACUCUAAUAAGGUAGGAGUAAAACUGAUAUAUAUUUUAUUUUCACCAAAAUUACUCUAAUGUUAUACUAGAUAUAUUAUCACAUGUGGAGCCAGGUGGGGAUUCUUGGGUUCGGACGAACCCAGUAGCUUCCGUCUCUGUAUAUUAUUAUUGUUUCUUUUUACUCCCAUCACGAUAAAUUCCUCAGUCUCGUAUUUUUUAAGAUUCUUUGAUGUUUUAGCUUUCUUCCUCAAAUGAAAAUAAAGUAAACAUAUUAUACUCAACUUCACAAGUCAUUUAACAAUAGUGAUAUCAUUUAAAAGGCAUAGCAUACAAAUAUGAUCCUUAAUUUGGCGUCAGUCGAUAACUAUGAUCCUUAAUUUUAAAUGUACACAAAUAAAUACUUAAACUUUUAUAAAAUUAAAACAAGUAAACAUGAUACAUAUCAAACAUUAUGUAGAACACAAAAUUUUCAUAUUAAAUAUCACGUAAAAUGAAUGUAUCAAUUUAAAUAAAUAAUAUGAUAUAGAAAGGUUUAACUAUCUUCGACCAAAAUUAUUCAUUCAUUUGGAAUUUCUACGAAUAUUUAGGUGGGUGGGCAUACCGACCUACUCAUCCAUGUGCACGACGCGGAUUACAGGGAAUUUUAGCUAAACAAUGGGUCCCACUUAACCAUUUAUUUGAAUACAUCAUCAUAACUACUCCAAUAAUUCUCCACCGUCCGAUCAAAACACUCUCAUCAAUCAACCGUUCACUAUAAAACAAUGUUGGCCCUACACACAAUUAUGAAAAAAAAUCAAUCACCGUUUUAAUGGUCCACACAAGAAGUUUCAUACCAAGUCAAUUACUAACACCUGUAUACACAAUUCUACUUUACCGGCUGCUUGUUUGUACUCGUUCGGACUCGAAAAAAAUAUUAAAAAUAUCUUUAAAUUUGAUGUGAGUUGCUAAUUUCGUUUUAUAACUGAUGAAACAUUAGAACUACCCCUCACACUUUUGUAGGAGUGCGAGAUUAUUAAUAAACUAAAGAAGUGUUUGAGCAAGAUCAGAGUAUAUUCAAAAAAGUACUUUUAAAACUGUCAAAAUAGUUUGAUAAUAAAACUACUAAUUCACGUCAAAUCUAGAAAUGUUUCCAAUACCUGAUUACUCAUGUAUAUCAGUUCUAAAUAAUGUAGGAAAUUACCGUUUCUUAAUCACAAAUCUCGAGUUUGAAUUUGAAUAUAAAAAAAUUCUAAAUUUCCCUAAAAUGAGGCUCUACACGACCGUAAAUUCGAAUUAGUUAAACUUCUAGCUAGUAUCGAAGAAAAGAAAGGAAGUAUAUCUACUAGUUGGGAAAAUUAACCGGUUUAUGGAAAAUUGACCGGAGCUGCCGGUUUGGUAUUAAAAAUAUCUGUUUGGCUAUAAAAGAAUAUUUUAAUUAGAAUUAUUUAACUCUUUCUCGAAGGUCAAUCAGUGGACUGGUUCGGUAUGUCUAACCUCAAGUUCGGUUCUAAACCUAAUAGGCUCGGUAUUCCUGCCUAUAAAUACAAGACCUUAACAGCAGAUAAGAUUUCAUACGUGUACGAGUUCGUCUCUGUAGCUGAAGAACAAAAAAUCUGUUUAAAGGUAUUGUAAAAACGCCAUUAUAGCUUCAUUCAAGCUUUCAAGUAUUUUUCUCGCUUCUAAUCUGUCGAUCUGUUGAAUCCUAUCUAGUUUUAUAUAUAUAUAUAUAUAUAUAUAUAUAUAUAUAUAUAUAUAUAUAUAUAUUUUAUGUAUAUGUUGUUAGCUUCUGUUUUUAUGAGUUAUCUAUGCUGAUGCAUGAAAAUGUUUGAAAAUUGUGAUUAAUUGUGAUAUAUGUUGUUUGUUGAGUAGUUUUAGAUUGGUUUCUGAUGUCAAUUUGAGUCAAUAUCUUGUACUUUUUGUUGAUGAAAUAGCGAAGACUAUGGUUUUGAGUAGAUCUGAUGAGGAUCGAGGAGUUUUUCGAGAAAGUGAGGUUAAUUGUUAUUGGAUUAUCUGAGAGAGGAUGGGUGGAGCAUGUUUGGCCGUGGAAAGAUGAGUUUUUUGAUUUGUAUGACUGUUAUGAGUUAGGGUUUGGAGUAGCGAGUUGAAAUUGCAGUAGAAGAAGGCCAGUAAUUGUGGUUAUGUUGCUUGGACUCUUUUAAAAAUGGUGAUGGUUGCGUGUCUGAUUGUCCAAAAGUAGUGUUUGGGUUUUUUGAAGGAUCCGACACGGUGUGCCAUCAUUUUUGGAGAGUCCGAGCAACAUAGAUGUGAAGUAUUUACCUCAUGUCUGUUGCGCGAUGGUUUUGACUGUGUAGUAAUAGGUGCUAGAUAGAAUCAUUGCUCAGAGUUUAGAAAGGAUACUGCUGAAGUUUGGUUAGAGCUAUAUCCACCUAAGACGAGAUAAUUCGGGUUUUCUAAGUCGCAUGUUGAUUGAGAAUGUUAAUUUUCCUUUUCUGUAGUGUUCAGUUACCAUACUUUGAUAAUAUUUGUUCAUGAAUUGGUUUAUUAGGCCAGGAAAAACUUCUACUUUAGUUCUGUGGGUGAUUUUAAUAUUGAAGUUGAAACUCGACGUACUAAAUAUGGUCAUAUUCGGUAUGUCAUGCACUAACGUGUUUUUUGUUUUAUCGAAAAACUUUA